rnacentral:lncRNA from 1 species
UCGAAUGAUAACUUCCUUUGAAAGAAAAAAUUGGAACGAAAUGAUUGAGUUUGUGAAAGAGAGAGUUGAGGGUGAUUGGUUUUAUAGAGAAAAAGGGAAUGGAUUUGGUAAAGAGCUGUUGGUGUUGGUGACGCCAUGGAUUGGGGGAGAAAGCAGAGAGAGUUGAGUGCACGGAGGGUGUUUGAUAGAAUGCGAAACUGAGAAUAAAUUAAUAUUGGAGAUGUGAGAGGUUGAUGCAGUAACCUAGAAGUAACGUUGAAGAAAAUGCGACCUUAUAAGGAAAAUAAUAAUAAAUUAAAAAUAAAGGUGGUGUAUUAAAAUAAUAAUGGUGGUUGAUUGAUGAUGUUGAGGAUAAGUGUUUGAAUGAAAUGGUUUGUUUUAAGCAAGCAGCAGGGGGUGGCGGUGUUCAGUCUGAGGACUUGUGUUUUGUGUCUGCCUUCUCCUUUCAUUGAAGAGAGGGUUUCUAAUACCAAAGGAUUACAAAGAAUAAAAUUGCUAUAAAACGAUUACGACCAUAGAAUUUUAAACUGUUUUAUUGGUUUUCUAUAAACUGUUUUCUUUCUUUUAAUUUAAAAGUUUCUUUGGUUUAUAUUUUUUUUUAAAAUUGUUUUCUAAUACUGUUUUAAGUUUUCUUGUUUUCAAAAACAGAAGACCAAAUACUAGUUAAACAAUAGUUUGCUUUUUAGUUUCUAAUAUUUGAUAUAUUGCUACAACUAAAAUAUAUCAAAAAUGUUAUGGGUAGAUCAUAUCAACAUAAGGGCGGGUCGGGUCAGACUUGUGGACACUGCACGUUUUAAGUUUUAAAAUAUAAAAUUUAUAUUAACGUUCGUGCCUGCAAAAGCUUGCAAGAAAAUGGGAUAGGCGGGACAGACACAUUAGAGGGUGUGAGCCUAAACCCUUGGGCACCCCGCGCUAAAGUGCAGGUAAAACAGACAUGCCCAACCGGCAGGGCCUGUUUUGCCACACCUACAUCAACCUCAACCAACUACUUAAAAGGGGUCUCACUCCUUCCAAAAUCCUCUCAGGACACGAGGAUUAUCAUAUGAUCAUGAGAGAUUUGAACUGGAAGUACAUCCAACGGUUCUCCGUAUUUCAAUCCUUACAAAUAACGAGUUUGUUUUUUGGUUCUCUCUAUAUAUGGAGAAUGCUCCAAAUUGGGGUGAUAAUUUUCAAAUCCAAUUUCACUUACUAUUUUUCCUCAUAUACUGACUUGAGUAUUUGAGUGUUAACCUUACUGGUCCCCCCAAUCCACCGCAUCAGAGGCUAUGAUCCACCAUCGUCGUCGUUGCUACACUCAUUUAUGGUUCUAGAACGGAACAGUGUUAUCGUUUAUGGAAAUUGACUUCUGAUUCCUAUGAUUUUCACAAAUUUAUGUUCGCUAUUCAACUUCAUCAAUUGCAAUCUCCUCAAAUCAACAUAGCGAAAAGCAUUCGCAAUAAAGCGUGAAAAUCCAUCGCAUCUUGAUUCAAUCAAACAUAAUCUCAAUUUAGUUUUCUCGAAUUUCUAGAUAUUUAGUUCUCAUAAUUUCUGGUGAUGGUUGGAUCUAAGGCCACUCGAUCCGCUGUUGCACGUGAAGUCGUCGUUGUUGCUCUAGCAACUAACAAUCAACUGACUCUCUCUCCCCCACAAGACGUUGGAGAUCUUGGAAUAGUUGCUUCACUACAUCGAGAUCUUAUUCAAGCUUUAUAUUUACUAAAGUUACACCGAUGGAGACUCGUGUUCCUCCUCAGGCGAUAGUUUGUCAUGGCCAACUUGACAUAGCCCAUGAGGGCGACAAGGUCAUUCAACGAGGGUCUGAUGCUGUAAUUGCCCUGAGGGGCGACAAAAAUCUUCUUAGGAAAGUCCAACAUAUAAUUUCCUUGAUGGGCGACAAGGAUCUUCCUGAGGAAGUCCUUUCCCUUCAUAUCAUAUAGAUUCUUUCCGCGUUUUACGUAUAUCUUGAAUAAUCUCUUCAAGUUAGAAAGAGAGUGGGGCGCCUCUUGCCCACGAAGGGGAAAAGAGCGACACCCAUUAUUCAAAGCAAGUUUUAAAGAGUUCUUACAUAAACUACAAACAGCAGAGACAAUAGCCCGCCUUUAUCCAAUAACAUCAAUAAUUAAUCAAAGCGUAAACUUGCAUAUGCCCGACCUCUUGAUCUCGUAUGUGAUCUCGCUUUGAUGAAUUUGUAUUUUUAUGAUUAGUUAUGUUAGUUUGUAUUUGAAUACAACGGAUGUAGUGUAACACAUCUCGCCUUUUUAAGGACGAAUCGUUGUACUUACGCUUGACAACUCAAUUGUUUUUUUAUAGUUAUGAAUCGCCGAAUAAAUUUACGGUGUGUUUGAUCGACACAUCGAGUCCACUUGCAGAUCAUCUCAACAAAUCAAAAUAAAAUAUUUUAUUAGACAAAUAUAUUUUCACCUAAUAAUGUGUAUAUAAGCACUAUUUGGCAAAUUAGAUACAAAUAAGCUGCCUUUAAUGAUGCUCGCUAUUUGUUUCUUUUGCUUAAUUAGAGAUGCUAAAUGUUUCUUAGAUGUGGUUUAUGAAUCUUAUGAGGAGUAAUGCUGUUAUAUCACAUGUCCUAGCAAGCUAGUGUCACUGCUAUAUUCUAGUAUUUUAUAUGCUGAUAUAUCAUCAUUUCUAUUUUUAUAAACGUAUACACUAUACUAUCAGUAGCAUCAACUAAUUUGUUCAUAAAUAGUAGCUAAUUAUAAACCCAAUGUGAGAUUAACUUCUCUUACAUACAAGACCGGCGUGGUUCUUAGAAUGUGACACGUGGGUUUCUGCAUGAACUAAUGGGCCCUAAAGACACCAACCAGUUGUACGCAAAAGUAAAGUUACUAUUCAUCGUACAAGACAUGUGAGGUUUCUCUGAUACAUGGCCCUUACAACGGUUGGAUUUUUUUUAUAAGGAAGGAAAACAUGGGAUUAAAAAGAGGCACAAGGGAUACUCACCCUUUUACAACCAAGGAAAUCAAAGGAAUAAAGAAAAAACUAAAAUUUUCAACAACAAACUUUAAUUAUGAAUCGUUAACUCCCAACACGUCCUCGGAUUAUUACACCAAACCGAUCAAAAAAGUUCCUAUAAGAGAAGACAUUGAACCAGUCCCAAGAUAUAAUCUUAAUCAUGUUCAUAACAUCCAAGUUUCUAAGGAUGCUCAUUUUAAAAAAGACUGCAUUCCUACAAGACUAAAUAGACCAACAAAAAACUAGAUCAAAAAACCAAAAAGAAAUUGUAGUGUUAAGACCAUGGAAUUUAUCCAACAAAGAACUCGUAGGAAAAGCAUCGCGCUCUCCAAUCUACACGCAAAACUUGGACCAAAUGAGAUUAGAAAAAGGGCAUGAGCUAAACAAAUGUUCAUCUUCUUCCAAAAAGCAUAAAGGACAAACCACAUUAUGCACACCUUCGAUAAUACCACACUUAGCCAACUCUAUCCUCGUGGGUAACUGGUUAAAAAGAAUAAGACGCACAAAAAUAUGAACCUUACUCGGAACUUUAGAUUUUCAUAAACGAGUAAGGCACCACAAUUCUAGCUUUUAAGAUCCUCUUGUAACUAACUUUAAUCGAGAAGUCAUUUUUAUCCCUCCAUCACACAAAGCGGUCCAAAAUAAAAUAAAUAUACUUCACAUCAUGCAAGUAUCGUUGAUCCAAACCCCAACAUCACAAACUUUGAGACAUCUCAAACCACUAAGUCGAAACAAAGAAAGGAAUAAAACAUUAAAAGAGGAAAAUCCAAGUCAAAUAUGUCUCUAAAAGUCUAAAAACCUCUUGUUACCAAGCUUACAAGAAAUAGAAAAAGAAAACCAAUUAGAUCGGGAAAUAUCAUUAUUUUUCAAGGGUUCCCCAAUAGUACAAAAAUCCCUCCACCACAAAUACAUCUUCCUACUCACACAAGGGUCACCUAAGACCGCCAAUUUUCACAUUGUCAUGCCUAAGAGAAAUAAUAUUUGACCACAAAGAAGAAUCAUCAUUUAGAACCCGCCAUUUUCACUUGCUUAACAAAGCAAGAUUAAACAACACCCAAUGUUUCACCCCUAAACCACCAUCCUCCUUAGAUAAGAAAAUAGAAUCCCAAGUAACCCAACUCACCUGUUGGAAAUGAGUUAGUCAUGUGGUAAACACCAUUCACGCUCUAAUUUCCGUUUAAUUUUUUUUUUGAAAAAGCAAAAGAAUGUAUUAAAAUUAAACGUAACAGUUCAAGACAUGAGGCAUGCCUAGGCAUUACAUAAGAAGUGUCUAUCCAAAACAUAUUGAUAUUCAAACUAUAAACUGAAAUACAUUAACUCUGUAACCAACAAAAUUAAACUGACAGCCAACACUUAUAUUGCAUUCACCAAACCACCAAAACGGUGACAAAAUAACUGGAAAUACUUAGCCACAACCCUUCAACAAGGCUAGUGCAGAAAAAUGACGCCACGCCUCUACGGAUAGAGCGAGACAAAGGUCGAAGCAAAUAUAUUUUUAAACAACUAUUGAUGAAGGCAAAUCCCACAACUCGAUUUUCACUGACCGAGUUUACUCUGCACAAACAUUCUGAUCUGACUCGCUGACUAGAACCAUUUCAUUGAAAUAGCCACUAUCAUGCCUUUUAACACCUCUACAAUUACUGCUCAAAACUCAGAAUUAACCUAUGAAGUCGAUUCACGCUUGCCACCACUGAGAACGACAUAUCACAUUAGCGGAUCCAAAACAUGUCCCUGAGACAAUUACCCGUUUUCCACCUCGGCCACCAUCAAACACAAAAACAAAAUUCUGACCAUACUUCACUUAGGAAAACCACUUAACUCGAUAAACAAUCGAACCCAGCGAACCACAACAAUGGACAAAUUUCAGCACAUACAAAUUAUACGCGCCUUAGGUGUUCAAUUUGCCAGACGCUUAAACUACAUCAUACUUUCACUAUCUUCACAAAAACCAAAUUCUCCACGGCCACCAUCAAACACGAAAUCAAAAUUCUGACCAAAUUUCAAAUAAAUAGACCAAUCAACUCGAUAAGCAAUGAAUCCCUACGAACAACAAUAGUAGCAUAAUUUAGCACAAAACAUCAGACAAGUUAUGCACUCCUAUAAAAUUUCCAGACACUAAUUCUGCAUCAAAAUUUCAAUAUCUACACCAUAAACAAAUUAUGCAAUUAACUCAUCAUCAUAUCACCGCAUACUAACAAAAAAACAUGGAAAUCAACCGGAUACAAAACAUGCCCCUUAAGAGGAUUGUCCUCUUUCCACCUCGACCACUAAACAAUUUUGUUAAACAUACCAAUCAACUCGAUAAAUAAUGUAUCCCAGUUGUCGCUACCGGACUAACCAAUUUUUCGAUAACGAUUAACUGAUAUUGAAUUAGAGAUAAGUUGUACUGUAAUUCCUAUUUAUUUAGUUUAUUGUUGAAUAUAAUGUUGAAACAUAAAAUUUGAACCAAACCAAUCAUUUUUCAGAAUUGCAAUUUCCUGUAUGUAUAUAUUGUAAACAAUGCAUGUGCAGUAGAUAUAUAAUAUUAACUGCUCAUGAUAAAAGCAUUACAUAAUUUUAGUACUUCAAUAAAAGACAUUGUAAUUUAUAGGGAUAUACGUGGGUUGGGUUUGACCUAAUUCGUUAUCCAAUCCGUUCAAAAUUCAAUGGGUUUGGUCUGUCGUCCAACCCACAAUUUCAUUGUCAAAACCAAACCGGACCGUCCCGUUCAUUAAUGAGUUGGAUUGGGUUGGGUUCGCGGGUUGUGUUUCAAAUAAAUAAUAUAUUUUUUAUUAUUCCUUUUGUCGAUUUAAAAAAAUGUAACACAACUCAAUACAAUCAUACUCAUUUAUAACAUCAAAUUCAAUGAAACACAUCAUAUAAUAUCUAAUCAAAUUCAUCAACUCGGCAUAACACUUUAUAAUAAUAUAAAAUUCAACAAGACAUGUUAUUUUUAUAAAAUGCAUAAGUUAGAAAUUAUACAAAAGAAAAUAAAAAAUAAUAUUUAAUCUUAGAAUUACGUAAAUUCAUUGGUCUAGUAGUAUUAUUGACGGAGAAUAAUUUUUGUAAAGAAAUAUUAUGAUUAUUAGUGAGAUAUUAAUUUUAUAUUUUUAUUUAAAAUAAUAAUAAAAAUAAUAAGAAGUUACUAAAGACACAUUAAUGAAUUGGGUUAACGGGUCCGUGAGUUGCAAAACUCAAACCGGAUAUCCAAACCAAAAUUAUACGGGUUAUUAUGGGUUGAUUUGUAUAUACCCGUAAAUGAAUGAAUUCGGGUAAUUUAUGGAUUGGAAUGGUUUGGGUCAGCGGAUUCGUGGGUCGAUCCACGUUGAUGAAUACCCUAAUGAUUUAUAUGUUAUCAAUAUUCUUUGAAGGGGCAAAUAUAUGUUCCAUAUGUCUCUACUUUGAUAGAUCAAAAUAUACAAUUGAAUACACACGCUACAUGUUUAUAUGUGAAUGAUGUACAAUAUGGCAAGGAUUUCAUUUUUUGGUUAUAUAUCCAAUUGAAUACAUAUGUUACUAAUGUUACUAUUACUAUGAAUAUUUUUUCAUCAACCGUCAUUUAUUUUUCUUGGUUUCAUUUCAUAUUAAGAUAUCAUUUAUUUUACUUGGUUUCAUUUCAUAUUGAGAUAGAUUAUGUGUAUAUACAUUGAAAAUAUGACAUUGAUUUUAUAUUAGAUACAUUAAAAAUAUGACAUUGGUUUAUAUUCCACUAAUUAUAAUUAUGAUAGUAAUAAUAUUUAUGAUCCACAAUAGUUGAAUAUUAUAUACAUAUUGUUAUAAUAAAUAACAAAAUUAUUUAUUAUUUAAAAAUAUUUAUCUAAAAUAUCAACUUAAAAUAGUAAUGUGAAUUAUUUAUCAAAGUGUCAACUUAAAAUGUAAUAUUCUAUUUACAGUGUCAACUUAGAAUAAUAAUGUAAAUUAUUAUAUUCAUUUAAUAGUUAUAAUUCUAGUAGUAUAAAUAUCCCCCUUUAGUUCAUAUAAAGAUACGCCAAUUCUCUUUGAGAAAUAUAAGAUAUCAUCCUACUUUCUUCUCUUCUUAUUCUCUUAGUUUGAUUCAAAUAUUUUAUUUUUCUCACCAUGUUAUCACCACAAUCAUUUCUAUCAAAAACUAUUACUACACUAAAUAUGUCUUAUACAUUUAUCACUUUAAUCUUAUAAUAAUAAUAAUAAUAAUAAUAAUAAUAAUAAUAAUAAUAAUUAUUAUUAUUAUUAUUGUUAUUAUUAUUUUCCCCAGUUUUAGAAUACUGUCAACCCAUCAAGUGAUUUAUAACUAUAUUAUCUAGUAUUGUUAUUAUUGUUUUAGAUCUUCUUAUAGAAAACUGGAAACUAGUGCUCUAUGAUAAGUGUUGCUAUUAUUAUAUACAAUUUGUAUAGAGGUCUAAAACCUCAUAUGGAGAUACUAACUUUUAUAUUUAAUGGUGGUCUAAAAUCCUAACUUUCAUAUUUAAUGGUGAUCUAAAAUCCUAUAUGCAGAUACUAACUUUCUAAAAUCUCAUAUGCAGAUACUAACGUUUAUAUUUAAUGGAGGUUAAAAACCCCACAUGUAGAUAUUAACUUUUAUAGUUAAUGGAGAUCUAAAACCUCAUACGUAGAUACUAACUUUUAUAUUUAAUGGAAGUUUAAAAUCUCAUAUGCAAAUACUAACUUUUAUAUUUAAUGGAUAUAUAAAACCCCAUAAGUGUAUACUAACUUUUAUAUUUAAUGGAGGUCAAAAACCCCAUCUAUAAAUAAUAACUUUCAUACUUAAUGGAGGACUUAGAUCCCUAUCUAUAAUAUUGCUUCACGAAAAAAUUAUAAUCAUUUGAUAUUAUUUAAAUUACUAAUGUUAUCUCAUAAUCAUCUCUAACACUGGUAAUUGUUAUAUGAUAUUUAACAUACUUAAAAUUUGCCUAGAUGAUAUUUAACACACUUUAAUUUUUUCUUUUCCCCUUUUCCCCAACGGGAACUUUAACGAUCAUUUUACAAAUUUAUCUCUAUAAAUACCUCAACAUCCUUCAUAAUUUCCAAAUCACUCUCAAAAUAUACAUCCGUAUUUUUCAAAUGGCUAAAUAUUUUCUUUUAUUCAUCACUCUAAUCGUCAUUAUUUUGUUCCUUAUAGAUAUUGUCAAGCAUGAAGAAUUAGGUAAAGUUUAUGUAAUAUUAAUGAUAUUUAUCAUUUUACCAUUAUUAGUCUUAACUUGGUUUUUUGAUAGAGGUUUUAAAUAAAAUAUAAUUUUUGUAAUUGUUAGUAUUGAGUAAAUUGAUAUUUUAGUUUAUACAUUAAAUGUUGAUUAUGUUCGUCUGAAUUCUAGAUAUAAUCUUGUCCAACAUUAAACAUCAAUUCAAAAAUUUAAACAUAACUAGGGACAACUACAUAACUUGGAACAACAACUUAAUAAAGUAUCUUUCAUGUGAGGGACUCGACAAAAUCCUUGAAGGAGACAAUUCAAAAAAGUCGACAGUUGACCUAGAGGAAAUGGAAAUGAAAAAGUUAAAAGUAAAUCAAAUAAUCAAACACCACCUUAAUGAUGGAUUAAAAACAGAAUACUCGAAUGUAAAAGAUCCCAAUAUAUUAUGGGACAAACUUAAGGCAAGAUUUGGGCAUCAUAGAAAAGUUUUAUUUCAAAGUGUUCAAUAUCUGUUAAAAACAAGAAACUUUUCUACUACAUGAACUUUCAUAUCAAAUAAAAGUUUCUAUUUAAGCACUUCAAAUAUAUUUUGUUGAUUCAUAUUUUUACAGGAAAAGGGAAGAACAACUUUGUUGAAAUUUUGCUGUUAUCAAAAUUCUAUUGCUCUUAUACUCUAAAUUCAAAAUUGUUGUUAUUAUCAAUAUUGUGUAACUUGUUUAUUAGGUUGUUGAUAACAAGAUUAUUAGAGAGAAAGUAUGAUUAUUUCUCUUGGUAUUUGUAACAUCACAAGGUAGAGUUCCUUUGUGAUUUUGUUAGUAAGUUAAGAGAGUCUAGUGGACCGACUGUAACAUUUCUAACAUAGUGAAAUCUCUUAUUGAUUGUGAGGGGACUAGAGUACCUUUGUUUGGAAAGGAGAAUCAUGAUAUAUUUUGUGUUCAUUUACUUUACUACAUUUACUUUUCUGCAUAUAACUGCAAUCUCUUAAACUAGAAAAAUAACUCAUCAUUUCAUUUUUAUAAAUCAAUAAAAGUAAAACCAAUAAAAUUACAAGGCUAAAGCUUACCACUUUUCUCUAAAAUUUAUAAACACAUAUCACCCCCUCUUAGGUUCUCUCUAAUACUUACAAAUAUUUGUUUAAAGAAGACUAUAAGAAUUAUCCUACUUGCCCUUGUAUUUUUAUAAGAAAAACUAUAUCUAUUUUUGUAAUAAUUGAUGUAUAUGUCGAUGAUUUAAACAUCAUUGGAACUAAUAAAUAAAUUAGAGAAGCAAGAUAUUACUUAAAGAAAGAAUUUGAAAUGAAAGAUCUAGGAAAAACUAGGUUCUACCUUGGUAUACAAAUUAAGUAUACUAAAAUUGGUAUAUUAGUACAUCAAUCAAAUUAUACGUAAAGGGUAUUGGAAAGGUUUAACAUGGACAAGAAAAACUCUUUGAGUGGUCCAAUGAUGGAUAGAACACUUAAUGUUGAAAGAGAUCCAUUUAGACCUAUGGAAGAUGAUAAAGAGGAUCUUGACUCUAAAGUUUUAUUCCUCAAUGUCAUUGGGGCACUAAUGUACCUUACUAACUUUACACGACCUGAUAUAGCUUUUGUAGUGAAUUUACUAGCAAGAUUCAUUUCGUGUCCUACAAAGAGACAUUGGAAAGUAACAAAACAUAUAUUUUGAUAUCUCCGAGGUACAUCUGAUCUGAGUUUGUUUUAUUCUAACUAUACAAAACCAAUUUUGCUUGGUUAUGAAGAUGUUGGAUAUUUUUCAGAUCCAUAUAAUGCUAAAUCACAGUCUGGGUAUGUCUUUACAUAUGGUGAUACUGCAAUAUCAUGUAGAUCUCAAAAGCAAACACUUGUAGCAACUUCUUUAAUUCAUGCUAAAGUAAUCGCUCUUCAUGAAGCAAGCAAAAGGUGUAGAUGGUUACGACCAGUAACUAGACAUAUCCAAGAAGCGUAUGGAUUACAAACUGAUAAUAAUCCAACAAUUUUGUAUGAAAACAAUGUUGCAUGUGUUACCUAGAUGAAAAAAGAUUACAUCAAAAGUGACAGAACCAAGCAUAUCCCUCCAAAGUUCUCUACAUUCACACAAGAACUUGAAAGAAACAAAGAAAUUGAUAUUCAAUAUAGUUAUUCGUGUGAUAGUAUGACAAAUCUCUUAAUAAAUGCGCUCCCUACAUCAGUUUUCAAGAAGCAUGUAAAAAGUAUUGAAAUGCGUCGUCUUCGAGAUCUUUGAAGAAGAACUAAAUGUGUUAUGUUGAGGGGGAGCAUAAUGUUGUACUCUUUUUCCCUUAUUAAGGUGUUUAUCCCAGUGAGUUUUUCCUAAUAAGGUUUUUAACGAGGCGACAUAUGUUUCCAUAAGAUUAUUCUCGACAAGACUCCAAUGAAAUACCGUGAUAGAUAUUUCAAAAGGGAGGGGAUGUUAAAAUAAAUAACAAAAUUAUUUAUUAUUUAGAAAUAUCUAUCUAAAAUGUCAACUUAAAAUAGUAAUGUGAAUUAUCUACCAAAAUGUCAAUUUAUAAUACUAAUGUUUUAUUUAUAAUGUCAACUUAGAAUGAUAAUAUAAAUUAUUACAUUCAUUUAAUAAUUGUAAUUCUAGUAGUAUAAAUACCUCAUUUGGUUCAUAUAAAGAUACACUAAUUCUUUUUGAAAAAUAUAAAAUAUCAUCCUAAUUUUUUUCUCCUUUGAUAUUCUGUUUUUCUCAACACAUAUAUCACAGUUAUUUUUUCAAGAAUAUGUAAAUUGGUACUAUAUGAAUUUGAAAUAAAUCAACAACACUGUACGAUAAUGGCAAUGCAGAGGUAUGGCAGGAUGAAUGAACAAUACUAUGUAUCAUAUAAAACUAUGAACUGGUUAAUUAUUUUACUACGAUGCAACGUUUCAAAGGAUGCAAUAAUUUUCACGUAAAAAUUAAGGUAUUAGUUACAUAACUUUCCUUUUCUUAUGUUAAUUUUUUUUUAAGUAUUAAGGUACAGAGCACUGCCCAAAAUUAAAUGUACAUUGAAUUAGCAAUUCUAAUUUUAUAUAUUCAACAAAUUUAAAUGUGUAUACAAUAACAUCUAUUGGUCAAUUACAAUUUCUAUAUACAAGGUGAACUUAUAUAUAUAUAUAUAAUAAUAAUAAUUAUUAUUUGCAUUUGGAUUAGUGUUGACAUUUUAUAUGUUGUAAAAGUGCAAAAUCACAUAUAUUAUUGUAAAAUUAAUCAACUUAUCCGCAGUUUUUUUAUUAAUAUCAAAAUUAGUUUAUGAAAUUAUUAAUGUCGAAAUUUUUUAACCACAAAAGUAGUGAAUUCAUAAAAAUUCUUGAAUUUUGAUUAUGAACUACAAUUUAUUAUUUAAUUUUGAAAUGGAAAGUGUACCGUCUAAUUUGAAGUUAUUUGAAUUAGAAAUUUGUUGAUCAUCAAAGUGGUCAAAUUAAUUAAAGUUUAUGAUUGCAAAUUAUGCAACUGAACUUGAACUUGGAUACAAAUUAUACAAUGUAAAUAAUAUUUUUGGACUCAAUAAGACUUAUCAUUAUAAGACAUAUAUAGAUCAUCUAAAGAUGGAUCAUGACUUAUAAUUAAUCAAAUUAAAGUACAUGUUAACACAAUUGUUGUUUGUAUAUCCAAAGAUAUGCAUGCAUAUUUUAAGUGAUUUUAUUGUCCAAUAAAAUAUGUUUACCUAGUAUCAUUAAAAUUUAUUGAAAAAUAUUUAGGUUUUAUCCAAAGGUGAACUUUGAUACACGUUAAAAGAUGAUUAGUUUGAAUCCAUGAAAUUUAAUCAAAACACUAACAUAUGAGUGUGUCUUAAAUGUUUGUAGUUACUAGUAUGAUGUUAUGGACUUAGACAUGACAUUAAUAAUGGAUGAGAAGUCCGUAGCCAUUACGAAGGAAAAUAAAGAAAGAGAAAUGUAUCUCUUUGAGACUUAGGAAAUGUCAAAUAUGUUGCCUUUAAACUUUAUUAGAAAAGACGAUACCUAGGUUCAUUUGCAAAGUUUCUCGAAAGUCAUGGCAAUGUGAAUAAUAUACUAUGCCUGGCACACCACAACAAAAUGGUGUGGAUGAGAGGCAUAAUCAUACUUUCAUGGAUAUGGUUAGAUAAAUGUUGAAUUAUAGUAAUGUACCAUUAUCAUUAUGGACGCAUACAUUAAGAACCGCCACAUAUUUGCUUAAUAGAAUUCCUAGUAAGGCAGUUCGUAAGACUCCAUAUGAACUGUGAACGGAAAGAAAACCUAAUUUAAGACAUCUUCAUAUUUGGGAAGCCAAGAAUAAGUAAGGGUGUAUAAUCCACAUGAAAAGAAGUUUGAUGCAAGAACAAUUAGUGGUUUUUUUUUCAUUAGGUAUCCGGAAAUAAACCAACAUCCAAAACCCACUAAAUAAUAGUUGAUUAACCAAUGGACAAUGUACAAGUCACAAAUGAGCAAUAACAAGUGAUAAAAUAAAUACACAGAAUAGGAAUAAGAAGGUCUACAAGACUAAGAAGCAGGGACGGCCCUGUGCAAGUGCAGCAUGUGCUGCAGCACAGGGGCCCAAAUUUUAGAGGGCCUCAAAUUUUAAAAUUUUAAAUUUUUUUCAUAAAUAUUAAUAAAAAUAAAUAAAAUAUUAUUAAAAAAACUCAAUAAUUGAAAUAAAUGUUAUGAUAAAAAACUUAAUACAUAUAAAAAAUUAAAAUUGAUCAAAACUCAAAAUAAUUAUAAUUAAAUUUAUUUUUAAUUAAUACAUAAUUGUAUUUUUGAUAUAUUUCUUUUAAUUAUUAUAAUUGUAUUUUUUUUUAAAAUUUGGACCCAUUUUUGAAAUUAGAACGGGGCCUCCGAUAUUAUUAGACCGCCCAAGUAUUUCAAUAGAUUAUAUUAUUUAUUUACUUGAGCAUGAAUGUGACUUAAGCAUUGAUGAGGAUUCAAUCUCAUUCACACAAGCCAUAGAAAAGUGCAAAGAAGGUUCUUAAGUACUUACAAGGCACCAAAGUUUAAAUGCUCACAUAUGGAAGGAAAAAUCACCUUGAAGUGGUAGACUACUUGGGUUUGAAUCUUUUGAGAUGUGUGGAGUCAAGGAAAUCCAUAUUUAUGUAUGUUUUCUUCUAACUAGAGGAGCAAUUUCAUGGAAGACUAGAAAACAAUCUAUCGCUUCUAGUUCUACUAUGGGGGAAUAAUUUGUGGCGUGCUUUAAGGCCACAAUUCAAUCAUUGUGGUUAUGGAACUUCAUCUUAAGGUUUGGCAUUGUCGAUAGUAUAGCUAGGCUGCUAAGAAUUUAUUGUGAUAAUUCUGCAACUGUCUUCUUCUCUAAGAGUGAUAAGUAUUCUAAAGGUGUUAAACAUAUGAAAUUGAAGUACUUAUCUAUGAAAGAAUAAGUGUGGAAAAAAGUGUCAUUUAAACACAUUGGUACAAAUUUAAUGAUAACGGGUCUUAACUAAAAGUUACGCCCAAGACAUUUGUUAUCCAUAUUAUGUUCUACACAUUAUUAUUAAUAUAUGGUGACAAGGAUGUCUUUAAAGAGACAUGAAAGUCACGUUAUUGUAUCCCUUAGAAUUAUUUGAAUUGGAUUGAUUCGUGAUACAUGGAAGAAAUGAAAUUGAUUAAUAACUUGUGACUUCCAUGAUUCAAUUAUUUUAGUUCAUUAAAGAUAAUGAAUUUGUGCUUUCAAUGAAUGGUGCACAAUUAUAGUAUAAGAUUGAAACAAUAAAUUGUCACAUGAGUCAAAUGUGAGAUUUUUGGAUUACUUUAUUAAUCCAUUAAAUAUGGCUCAUGUAAAUGAAAGUUUGACUUUAAAUAAAAGAUACCUUUAUGUGAUGAUUAUUUGUAUUUAUGGAUAAUUAAGAAAUGUGUUUUUUAUUUUGAAAUUCAAAAUACGAUUUAAAUUACUCUUCUUUCUCUUCAUGAAUAUAAGGACAAGACUAUUGAGAAUGAAUUGUAACCGUUGGAAUAAGAUGCCUAUAAAAUAGGUACCUUUAAGAAAGCAACAACAAUUUUUCUCAUUCUUUCUGAUCUCUCAAAAACAAAACAAAAUAGUAUCUUCAUCAUCAAAGAUACACAUAAAAGAAGAAGAAAGAGAGAAGAGAAAAUUUUGAAUAAAAAAAUCAAAUACCGGACAAGAAUUGUCGUCAUGUAUUCAUGUACAUUUUUUUAUUGUUUCUCAUAGAAAUUAAAUCACGGCGAAAAUCAUAAUAUCAAAACUUUAAAUUAAAAAUUUUCUAUCAGACAUCUCAUAUAGAGGUACUUUUUUUUGUAGGCAAUGUUUGAUUAAACGAGUACCCUUCGAAUCCCGAUUACAAAUUGAACCUACGAAGGAUUCCGGGCAAGAAAAAUUCAACACUAACAAAAGUUAAGGGUCACAAGAAAAAGGAUUCUUAUAGAAAUCAUAAAAACUAUCGUUGGCAUGUUGAAUAUUUCCUAAAAUGAUCCAUUUCCAAACUUUCGAUUUAAUGUUCCACAAUAAAUCUGAAAUGUUGUAGAUAGAACCGUUAAACAAAAUGUCGUUUCUGAGCACCCAUAGACUCCACAUGACUGCUAACCAGGGCAUCCCUAUUAUGCCUCUAUAGCCCUUUUUAAUCCUGCAGUUAUCCCUCCAUAGUAAGAAGUUCUGCCAAGCAGAACCGUUUCCCUCCACUUAAAUAUCUAACAAGGUCGUGAUGUUACACCAAACAAUCAUAGCAGUAGGACAAUAGAAGAAUAAGUGAUCCAGAUCUUGAACAUGCUUAUUACACAAGACGCAAACAUAGUCAUUUGAAGAUGAAAGUCCGCCUAUCGAUCUUAACUUAUCCUUCGUAGGUAACCUAUUAUGAAAGCUCCUCCAACCGAACGCUUGAACGCUAAAAGGGGUUUGAAUUUUCCACAAUAGGGUGAGAGGCUUGCUGAAAUCUUCAGUGACACGGGAGUGAUUUGCUACCUCCAAAAGAGUAUCAUAACCCGACUUUACCAUGUAACCAACCUCCGAGUCCAGAACCUAAAUGAACUUGUCAAUCAACAACUAGUUUGGACAAAAAUUGUCAUGAGUAGUCACUAGUUCCUACAACUCAGAUUUAAUUCCAAAACUGCCUCAACACCACCGGCCUUGCUGCCAGCUACCCAUGUCUGAUACUAUGUUGAACUUACUGCUACUGAUGUGAAAUAGCUUAGGGAAUCUAUCGGCAAACUUAACCGUGCCAGUCCAAGUUGCCGUCCAAAAAGGAAUCGAGGAUAUGUCGUUGAGCUUACAUAAGAUACUACCUACAAAACGAGAACCUUCAUACAGAGAAGAAGUAUCUACAUUCAAAACAUCCUUCCACCACGUUGAUUCAGGACGCCUUAUAUUGUCCAUUUGGCAUGAAAGGAUUAAAGCAUGAAUGUCACCAUACAGAACCGAAAGAAUCUUGCACCAUAACGCCUCAUUAUCGAGGAGGAUUCUCCAUUUCCACUUAAACAACAUAACCAAAUUGAAAAACUUUAAGUUUUUCACCCCUAAUAUGCCCAAGGAAAAAGGUUUACAAAUCUUUUCCCACCCCUACCUAAUGAAUGUUCCUCUUAUCUUCGUAAUCACCCCACAAAAACUACUUAUGAAUCUUCUCAAUAUCCUUCUAAAUCUUGGUCGGGGCUUUGUAAAAAGAGAGAAAGAAUUUUGACAAACUUUUCAAAACCGAUUUAAUCAAAGUAAUUCUACCGCCAAGAGACAAUGUCUUCCUUUUCCAUUUUGCAAGCCUCACUCUAAACUUAUCUACUAAAAGCUUCCACGGUUUGAUACAACGGGGAUUAAUUCCAAUUGGAAUCCCUAGAUAUAAGAACUCAUCUAGAGGUACUUAAAUAGACUAAAAUUCAUGUUGAUUAUAUUUUGUGGAUAUGAUACCUAGCUGUAUUUGGAUCAAAGACAUGUUCCAUGGUGAGAUAGCAAGUUACAAUGUAUGAAAGAGCACUUAUAUAUAUAUAUAUAUAUAUAUAUAUAUAUAUAUAUAUAUAUUAUAUAUAUAUAUAUAUAUAUAAUAUAUAGUAUAUACUUAGUAUAUAAUAUAUAUAUAUAUAUUAUUAUUACUAUAUACUAUAUAUCAUGUUGGUGUGUCGUGCUGUGUGUGUGUGUGUGUGUGUGCGCGCGCGUGUGCGUGUGUGUGUGUGUGCGCGUGUGCGUGUGCGUGUGUGUGCGUGUGUGUGUGUGCGCUAUUAGAUUCUAACUACAGUAAAAUGUGUUUCAUAUUCAUGAGUGCACGAAAUUACGAUCCUUCGCGAUGGUCGCAGAAAAAAUUGUUUCGAACAGAUUCACUAUUGAACUUUAUUUAUCCUAAUGAAGGAAUAGAAAAAUAUCAAUAAAAUCUUUAAAAAGAAAAGGAAAUGAUUGUCGCAAUCAAAUUCGGGUUCAAGAGUCGAUUACAUAAGGGGAAAGUAUUAACAUCUCUCACGUCUGUUAUACUCAACGUGAACCUUUUAGUUAAAUUUGCGAUUUGAAUGUUAGCUUAUGUCAUUUGUUUUAUUCGAAUGAUAAAAAGAUUAAAGAGAAAAAUGGGUCACAAAAAGGUUUUUUAUUAGGGUGUUUGACAAGAUUGCGAGUCUUGCUUCUACGUAUCCUUAGGUAUAAUGAAGAAUUCAAAGCGACAUAGUUCUGGAAAAAACAAAAGAUAUUUUUGGUAUUUUUUAUUAUAUUGCUUGACGAGACAAUGAAUCUCGUUCCUAGUUAUCUCCAGGUGCCUAAAUAAUCGAAGACCGAAGAAGGUAUAAACCCAAUCAAUCUUUUUCCUUCUAUAAAAGAACCAAACUUAAUUCUAAUAAUUAAAGUGUUUUAGAAUGGAAGACGAAUAUUCAGACAUAUAGCUCUAUGUAAGUUAGGAAUGAGCCUAAGAGAGGGGGGGGGAGGUGAAUUAGGACUUUUAGAAAUUUAUUCGGAUUUGGUGGAUAAGGUUCUUUUCUUUUCUGGAUUGGUAUGAUGUUGAAAGCGAUAAAGAGCAGAAACUAAAGAACACCAGGAAUUAUACUGGUUCCCCUCACAACUUGAGAGUACUCCAGUCCGCUUACAAUGUGUAAGAGAUUUUAUUAUUGUUAGAUCUCCUAAAUCAAGCCUCUAACUAAGUAAUCAAGAAAAAUCCUCUUGAAAACUUAACUCACAAGAAAAGAAAACAAUCCUUCCUUUUCUUGACACUUAUAUCCAACAAUCCUGGAUCAUAAGCAAUACACAUAAAACCAAACAAUCCUUGGUACUUAGGAUUUUACAAAGUAAUUGAAUGAAUAUAUGAAUAAUUGUAUUGGAUAAGAAUUUAAUCAAUUGAUUAGAAUCUUCUUCUCUUUCAAUAUGAAAUUUCAAAACAAAAUAAUCUCUAAGUACUCAAGAGUACUUUUGAAGAAAAUGAUAUGAAAAUUAUUUUUCAAAAGUAUCUUAAUAUGAGAAAUAGAUGAAAACGAAUGUAUAGAGAUUUUGAAAAUUGAUUUGAAAGAGGUGAAUUUUGUAAUGAAAAUAUAAGGAUUAUAUAUAGUAUGAAUUCAUCCCUUCAAUCAUAACAUGGCAAUGGUUAGAAUGGAAAUCAGAUAAUUGAUCAUGAAAAGAUGCAAGCUUUUACCAUGAAAAGUUAUGAUGAAAUAAUUUUUCAGAUUUUUCAAAAUAUUUCCAGCAUCAAUCGAUUGACACACAUAACCAAUCGAUUGACAUAACUAAAAAAUUGAAAAAAUAUACUAAGAUCAAUCGAUUGACAUACAUCAUCAAUCGAUUGGUCCUGCUUUAAAAAUGAAAAAAAAAUCUAAAACAGAAAGUUUGAUCAAUCGAUUGUAGCAAGGCAUCAAUCGAUUGACAUGACCAAAAUAUUGAAAAAGUUUCUAAGUUUAAAAAAAACUUUUGAACAUGCAUUUUUUAAACAUUAUAUUAAAAUAAAUAAUCAUGAUAGAAAAGGUUUAGAAUGAUCAUUUUAAUGUAUGGUAAAACUUUUGAGCACUAGGAGUAUAUUGUUAAGAACUCCAUAUACCUUUAUUAGAUCCAUGAAAAACUUGAACAAAGUUGAAUGAUCUUCUUUUUCCAUUCUUUUGUUAUGGAGAGCUUGAUAUGUUGUCUUCAUCAAAAUAUUGUAGGAAGUUUGUCUUCACAUUCUCCCCCUUUUUGGUGAUGACAACCAAUUUGAAGUUUGAACACAUACUCCCCCCCUAUCUUCUUAGAAAUGAUCACAUACAAAACUCCCUCUGCAUUAAGCAAUACAAGCAAAAAUACAUAUGCAAACAUCUUCUCCCCCUUUGUCAUAAUAAAAAAGAAGGGAAAAGAGACACAAUAAUAUCUAAGAUAAAAUUUAAGCAUUAAACCACACACAAACGAUGUUUAAAUCUUACACCACAAAUAACCAGAUAAGUCAUGCAAAUUAGAAACUAGGGAUGAUAAAAACAGAAUAAAAACAUAACAAAGUCAUAAAACACCAUAAGAUAGCCAAUUACUGAUUGUUGUUCCCAUCAUUAGAUCCACCACCUGGAUAGCCACCACCUUGAUAACCACCACCUUGAUAACUACUACCUUGAAAGCCAGCUUGAGACAACUCCCAACGAUCCAUUCUCGACGAUAAAUGACCAAUCUCGGUCAUAACAUCCGUGCAAAAUCCUUGUAGAUAGUCCAUUAUCAUUUGAUUGGAAGGUUGAUCUGGUUGAGUUUCUGUAGGCGGGUUAAACUCAUCAUCAUUGUUGGCUUCUUGUUGAGGUUCUUCAUCUUCAUUAUCCAGGUAUUUUAUCUCAUGAGUCCGAGGAUUGUAAAUGACUCCCAUCUUCCUAUUUGUCUGUUUGAUACUAAUCAUAAAAGAAGGUUUUUCCAUUGAAAAACACAACUCACUUUCCAGAUUAAUGUUGAAAUGUCGGAAAAUCUUGGUCAAUAGGUGAGCAUAUGGUAGACCCUCGGCAUGCUCGUCAUGAUACAUCAUAUGAGAUAGGAUCGAAUGUCCCAAUCAACAUGGAAGUGAGUUUUGAUGGAAUAGAGGAGCAUCAUUUCUGGAUCUGUUAUAGUGCAGUGAUUGGAAAAUCUCGGCACAACAACAUAUACCAGAAAAUAGUGUAACAUCCUAUCAUCAAUAGAAAACUUUGCUGGGGACCAGUAGACACGCUCCAGGUUAUCUCCUCCAAAACUCUUCUUCCUCUUGUUAUAAAAUUGAUGUUCGGACAACCAACUUAAACUAUAGUAAAAAACAUGUUUGCUAUAGUUUUCCCAUGGAGCAAUUGUCCCCACAAAUUUAUGACCACCAGGAGGGAUUUCAAAAAUAGCACAAAUAUCAGAUGCAGUUAAGGAGAUUAGGACUUCAUUCACCACAGAUGUUAAUUUCCCUUUCUUCUUUACCAUAUUGGAGUAGAACACCUUAACCAAUUCAGGGUAAAAAUUUAAAUGGCAACCAAUUAGGUCACUCAAACCCAAUUCCUGAAAGACACUAGGAAAGGUAAACACUUCCUCAGGAAAAGUAUCAAAAGUGCUAUACUUAGGCUUCAUGAUUUUAUUUUGGAAAAAGAAAGUUUCAUACCUUUCCUGUUGACUUCUUAUAGUGAAAAGCCUUGAUAAAUCAAGGGAGCCUCUAGAAGAAGAAGCUUUGCCUUUGCCUUUGCCUUUGGAUGAUAGUUGAGAUGCCAUGAAAAAAUGCUUCGAGAGAGAAAUAAAAGAUGAAGCAAAAACCAUUUGAAGAGAAGUGUAUAGGCAUGUGAAUGUUGAAUGUUGUUUGAGGAGAGAAGUGGCUUUAUGGUGGUGGUGGAUUGUAGUAAUGAGAAACAAGUAGUUGGACCAAGAAAAUUAAAAGCAAUGAAAGAAAAAAUAAAGUGACAUAAAGAGAGGGAAUAUAUUGGUAAAUGACAUUUACUAGAGAAUAGGAAAAGGAGAAAGAAUAGGAGAAAAAGAGGAAAAUGACAAAAUAAUAGUAAAUGCAAUAGGAAAAUUGUAUCAUUAAAAUCAGAAAUCACAUGGCCAUAAUUAAAUAAAGUGUGGAAGAGAAUCAUGCGCAUGUUGACCAAAUAAAACAAAAAUUUUAAUGGAUCAAUCGAUUGACAUGCAAGACCAAUCGAUUGGUUAUGUAAAAAAGUUGAAAAAUAACGAAGACCAAUCAAUUGAUGUGGGAGAUACAAUUGAUUGGUUGAAAACAAAUUUAUAAAAAAUAAAUAAGGAACCACCCGAUUGACUCAACCAUGUAAUCGAUUGUAGAAACUUUUUGUAAAAUGAAAUUUGAGAAAUUAAGAGGGACCAAUCGAUUGACACCCUACCAUCAAUCGAUUGACACCAAAUUUUCUUUGACAAAUACUUAAAUUAACACAUAAACAAGCACACUUAUCAUAACAAAAACAUUUUAAUAGUUGUAAAUAAUUAAUUACUAAAUAUUAAAAGAAAGAGUGCACCUUUUAAAUUUUGAUGAGUUAUAUAUCACACUCAUCUAGAAUCCCAAGUUCCCUUCGAAUUUUGUAAAACGGUUCUCGCGCCAAAGGUUUUGUGAAGAUGUCGACAAGUUGAUUAUGAGUAUCCAUAAAUGUGACUUCGACAUUUCCUUGAAGCACAUGAUCACGAAGAAAAUGAUGUUGAAUAUCAAUAUGUUUGGUUCUUAAGUGCAUGACCGAAUUCUUUGUAAUGUUUAUCGCACUUAUGUUGUCACAAAGAAGAGGAAUGCAUCCAAGAUCGAGUCUGUAGUCACGAAGUUGUUGCUUAAGCCAAGGUAUUUGAGCGCAACAGCUACCUGCUGCUAUGUAUUCCGCUUCGGCUGUGCUUAGAGCAAUACAUGCUUGUUUCUUGCAAGCCCACGAUACUAAUGCAUUUCCAAGGAUGUGACAUGUACCACUAGUACUUUUUCGAUCAGUUUUACAUCCUGCAUAGUCAGCAUCAGAAUAACUAACUAAUUUGCAAAUACUACCUUUAGGAUACCAUAGGCCGACAUUUGUUGUUCCCUUGAGAUACUUGAUGAUCCUUUUAACAACGGUGAUAUGUGAUUCUUUUGGAUUUGCUUGAAAACGAGCACAAAGACACACACUAAACAUAAUAUCAGGACGGCUUGCCGUUAAAUAAAGUAAGGAACCAAUCAUACCUCGAUACUUUGUCAUAUCAAUCGAAACAACUGAUUCAUCUUGAUCAACAUAAGAUCCGAAUCCCAUCUGAGUAGACAUUGCCUUGAAAUUAUCCAUGUCGAAUCUUUUUAACAACUCUUUGCAGUACUUUGAUUGGUUGAUGAAGAUGCCAUCCUUCAGUUGCUUAAUUUGAAGUCCAAGAAAAUAAUUUAUUUUACCCAUCAUGGACAUCUCGAAUUCUCCUUGCAUCAUUGAUGAAAAUUCUUCACACAUGUCUUUGUUUGUUGAGUCGAAUAUGAUGUCUUCAACGUAGACUUGAACCAAUAAAGUGUUACCUUUAAUUUUCUUAAUAAAUAGGGUUUUAUCAAUUUUACCUUUUUCAAUUCCCUUUUCACAAAGAAAGUUGUUGAGACGAUCAUACCAUGCUCUAGGUGCUUGCUUUAGGCCAUAAAGAGCUUUCCUCAAUUUGAAAACAUGUGAAGGAUUUUUGAAGUCUUCAAAGCCCAGGGGUAUGCUUUAGGCCAUAAAGAGCUUUCCUCAAUUUGAAAACAUGUGAAGGAUUUUUGAAGUCUUCAAAGCCCAGGGGUUGUUUGACAUAGACUUCUUCAUUGAUGUAGCCAUUCAAGAAUGCGCUCUUGAAAUCCAUUUGAAAUAAUUGAAAAUUUAAUGAACAUGCAUAAGCAAGUAAUAAAUGCCUUCCUCUUGAUUGUAUCCUUGGGCCACCGAUCUUGCUUUGUUUCGAACAAUUAUACCAUUCUCAUCAAGCUUGUUCUUAAACACCCAUCUGGUACCGAUGAUGUGUUUAUCACUUGGCCUAGGGACAAGUUCCCAAACUUGAUUCCUUUUGAAUUAGUUUAACUCUUCUUGCAUAGCAAUUAUCCAUUGGUCGUCACUUAAGGCUUCAUCAACCUUAGAAGGUUCAAUUUGUGAAACAAAAGCUAUAUUAAGCAUGCAUCUUUGAUAUUUAAUCUAGUUGCAACGCCUUGACUGAUAUCACCAAUGACUUUAUCAAUUGGAUGAUCCCAAUGAGUUCUCCAUUCCUUAGAUAAAUCAUUAUCAUUUGCUUCUUGCUCGUCUUGAUGUUUUGGUUGAUCACCAUUGUUUCCAUUUGAAGUAUCUAUUUGAGAGACUUCUACAAUAUUAUCAUCAUCACCACACAAAACAAUAUCCUCCUUGGAGGGGUUAGAUUCAUCGAAAGUAACAUGCAUUGAUUCUUCAAUUUUUAAAGUUCUUUUAUUAUAUAUUCUAAAAUCUUUACUAGUAAGAGAAUAUCCAAGAAAUAUACCUUCAUCGGACUUCUCGUCGAACUUACCUAGAUUGUCUUUGUCAUUGUUGAGGAAAAAGCAUUUGCAUCCAAAAAUAUGAAAGUAAGAUAUGUUGGGUUUCCUUCCUUUGAAGAGUUCAUAAGGAGUCUUUUUCAAGAUAGGUCUAAUAAUAAUUCUAUUACUUACAUAGUAUGCCAUGCUUACUGCAUCUGCCCAAAAGUACUUUGGAAGAUUUGAGUCGCUUAGUGUCGCAUCCGCGAAAAACAACCGGCGGGCUAAAACAAAACAACACAGAGCCGCCACCGUGCGUUAUUUAUCCCAAAAGAGGGAAAGGAAACGCUCGAAGUAAACCUGGAAAAGACAUGGUCUCAGCCACCGUGCGUUAUUUAUCCCAAAAGAGGGAAAGGAAACGCUCGAAGUAAACCUGGGAAAAGCAUGGUCUCGCGACCAAAGAGAAUGGGAUCGGGAGUCGGUUAUGCGAAGGGAAGGUAUUAGCACACCUACGCAUCCGUCGUACUCGACGGGAUCCACGCUCUAAAAGAAAGAAAAGGUUGCUAAACAAACAUCACACACACACACACUGAAGAUAACACAGGUGGGGGAAGAGGAAGAGGGCUCGCUAGGAUAUCGCGUCCUAUGCCUACGUAUCUCGUCUGGAACGAGAAUCAGAGCUGCCGUAGUUCGGCUCACGCACGCCAAACUAGACACACACAAACACGGGCAAACAUGGAACCUGAACGCCAAUCGCUGGACUUACAUCGGCUUCCGAACCAAACAAACACACUCAGGAUACGGACAACCAAUCGCUGGUCUUACAUCCAUAUCCUGGCACACAAAAGGGUUAACAAGCAAACACACACAAAAAGAAAAAAAAGUGCCCGGAGAGACCUCGCACGGUCUCCUGCCUACGUACCUCAUCUGGUAUGAGGAUCAGGGCGACGUAGUUCCCCUGAACGGGAAAGAAAUUCUAACCAGAUACAANAGGCCAAUGUAACAGUAAAAACCAGCUGGAGCAAGUCACUUUGAUCAUUUGUGAUGUGUUGGAAUAGGCUUUGUGUGCAAAAUCCAUGUAAUUUGAAAAUUCACCAUUUUUCCCACCAAUUUUCAAAUAAUCCACUUGAAAAAUGACCUUUUGCCAUGAUCAUUUUUGAUGAAAUGUGACCAUGCAUCAUGAAAGUACAUGUGAAAUGGGGUUUUCUCAAAGAAAGAUCAUCCAAUUUGGCCAUUCCAUGUGAAAGUUAUGCCACUUUGAAUUUAGGCAUUUUUGGAAAAUGAUUUGAUCACAACUUGCCAACCACACAUGAGAAAUGAGUAUUCUUGGACUUUUUGGAAAGGUGAGAGCAAGAUCUACAACUUUCAUGUUGGACCAAAUUUCAUUUGAAGCAUUUUUGGACACGUAAUUUUGAGGUGAAAAACUUUCCAUUUUUGGCAGUUUCCAAUUACAGGUCCCCUGCCAUUUUUGGAAACUUUUCAUCUGACUUUAUUUUCUUCAUUAUGGAUGUUUGAAAUGCCAAAUGAAAUUUGUUUCAACAUGAAUGAAGUGUAUCCAACCCUCUCCCACCUCCAAAUCCAUCAAUUCAAGCCCAGUUGACCACAAUUGACUUUUCUGACUGAUAAAUGAAUUUGGCUAUGCACUGAUCCAGUUGAGCCUCAAACUCCUGAUGAAAUGGCUCAAUGAUGAAACCCUAGCUUCCAUAAGCUCAAUAUAAUCACAAAAUGAUCCCCAUAUCCAUUGAAAACCUCAUCUCCUCGCCAAGCCCUGAUUGGCCCAAUGCAGAUGAUUAGGGUUGACCAGUGGUCAAAACCCUAAUCCCAAGGUAUCUGAUCAAUCUCUUGAAUCUCUUGGAUGAUAACAAGACCAUGACGAUGAUGUAUAAUUUCAACCAAGAUCAAGCUCAAUCUCCUUGAGAAAUCAUGAAACCCUAAUUUGAACCCCCACCCUCAGAUAGUUAGUGAUCAGUCCAAUGAAACCCUAGCUUGCAUACAUCAACCUUUUAUCUUCUGACCAAGACCUAGGAGGAUGAAUUGCUCCAUGUUACCACAUGAUAUGCCAAUAUGCAAUGCCUAAUGACCUACAAAUGAUAUGCAAAAAUGCAAAGCUAGUCCCAAGAGAGGAGGGCAAAUUUUGAGGUGUUACACUAACUAUCAAUAUAGCGAUCUUUAAUGCUUAAUACCAAAGAAGAGUAAUGAAUAAAUCUAUCUCUACAACUUAUUCACUACUUGAAAAUUUGUUUUAUGUCAAGUGAGUUUAUUAGAGAGAGCUGUUGAUGAGUUUAGACCAAAUCAACUUAGGGCAAAAACAGUAUUCAAUACAUCAACAAUCUUUAUCAUAUAUAUAAAUCAAAUGGAAUACAUAAACAUAUGAGAAUAACUACUACCUCCAAUCUUGACAAAGGGGAGUUUAGCUCCUCAUCAUCAUUGUUCAAAGCAGAAAUUUAAAGAAGAAAAACUCUGUUUUUCUCUCUUACAAAAAACUCUCAAUAUCAAUGUGUGAAUGAUAAUGAAUAUGUGAAUAAUAUGUUUUUCUCUCCUAAAAGAGUUGACAUUUCCUUAAUUGAUCAUUUCCAUCCAAAGAAGAAAAGCUAUCCCAAGGCAGACACCAAAAUGGUAAAACCAGCUGGCCUUCAAAACAGCACUUUUGACCCAAAAUCAACUUGCUGGAUUCGCAGGGUUCGCGGGGUGAACUAUGUUCGUGGCGCGAACUGACACUGUCAUUCAGUUCGCGGGGCGAACUUUGUUCGCGGGCCGAACUGAAGCUGCCUCAGUUUCCUUGCUUUGCAAGCUUCAUCCAAAAUCUUCCAUAUAAAAGUGUGUAAUUACAUCAAAACUUGGUAAAAGGAACCAAUAAAAUGAUAUAAAAAGUAGUACCAAUUGGUCCCUAACAGGUACUGACAGAGUACGGCAUCCAGUAUACUUCCCAGAAAGCCAUCAAGGGGAGUAUUCUGUCAGACUAUCUUGCUCAACAGCCGGUUGAAGAUUAUGAGCCGAUGAAGUUUGAUUUUCCAGAUGAAGACAUCAUGUUCCUCAAGAUGAAAGACUGUGAAGAGCCAGUUGNAAAAAACAAAAAACCUAAAAAUUUUUUAGAGAUUGAGGGCAUUUCUUGGAACAAUAAUAUAUAGCCGAACCAUAUUCGCUACCGAUUUCAUCCUCCGCCCAUGUUCCGUCCAACAAAAAGCACCUACAACCACUUCUUCGGAAUUGAACAAGUCAAGUAGAUGCUUCUUCCUCGUUCCUCCCUAUCGGCUGUUCCCUUUUUCUUCGUUAUGGGCUAUGGAGCUCCAAUGUUCUUUCAAUUCAGGUCAGAAGUGAAGGCUUCUUCGUUCUUUCCUCCAUGCACUAGAAUCACACAAAACAAAAAAACCAAGUAAAACAAAGAGGGAUAGUAAAAUUGUAACACAACUAAAACACAGAAUUAUUGCAUGCUGUAAUUACGACACCAUCCCGGCAACGGCGCCAAUUUUUAAUAUAUUGUCGAGCAAAAUAUUUUUAUAUCAUAUCCACAGAGAUUGAGUUGAUUAUUACCCUUCCAUAAUCAAUGUUAUAAGUUAGAGAUAACAAGUCGUUUCGUGGGAAGUUUCUGUGUAGUAAAUCACUAUAAACCAGGGUUAAAAUGUUUAUCUAAUGAAAAGCUAUGGCAAUGGAGUCACAUUUCCAAAUGCUUAUGAUUCCUUAUUAUAAAAUAAAUAGAUUCAAAUGAUGAUGAGUUCACAGUAUCCUUCUCAAAUCAUUUAUGUCUAAAUAACAUUUGAUAAUCACAUCCCUAUUAUCCUUACGAUCUUCACCUAACUGGUCGCAUCCCCGUGAAAAAAACCCGGGCUAAAACAAAAACAACACAGACCCCACCGUUGCGUUAUUUAUCCCCAAAAAGGGAAAGGAAACCCAGUAAACCUGCGGGAAAAAACAUGGUCUCCAACCAAAGAGAAUGGAAUCGGGAUCGUAAUGCGAAGAGGAAGUAUAGCACACCUACGCGAUCCGUCUACUCACGGAUCCACGCUCUAAAAGAAAGAAAAGGGUUGCUUAAAACAAACUCACACACACACACACUGAAAUUAACAGUGGGGAAGAGGAAGAGGCGUCCUAAUACCGCGUCCAUGCCUACUAGUCGUCUGGAACGAGAAUCCAGGCUGCCGCAGUUCGGCUCCGCACGCAAACUAGACACACACAAACACGGCAAAUCAUGGAACCUGAACGCCAAUCGCUGGACUUACAUCCUUCCAACCAACAAAACACACUCAGAUACGGACAACAACGCGUCUUACAUCCAUAUCCUGCACAGCAAAAGGCUGUAACAACAAACACACACAAAAAGGAAAAAAAAAAGUGCCGAGAACCUCGCUACGGUCUCCUGCCCUACUACCUUCACUGGAAUGAGAUCAGGCGACGUAUUCCCCGGACGGGAAAAGAAAGACAAUUUUAUACUUCAUAACCAGAGUUUAAAAACAAUACAAAAGGAGAAGACAACUACUAAGAGUUACUUGACUAUAAGCUAAGGUAUUCAUUGCUAUCAUGCAUGUUUAUGGUUCAAUCUUACUUGACACAAAGCAAAAAAACUAAUCUAACCUAGGAAAAAAAAAAAAAAAAAAAAAAAAAAAAAAAAAAAAAAAAAAAAAACAAAAAAAAAAAAAAAAAAAAAAAAAAACAGCAUGCAAAGCAUAAGCAAAAAAGCAAACUCACAUUUAGCACCACACUAUAUCCAAUCAAAAAUGGCCGCUCAAACAGGUCAGACUCCAAAAGGCAAAUCUCGGUACAAGGGCUAGGGUAUGUUUAGCUCUUACCCUGACAUGAGAAUCAUGAUUGUGUGAACCAAGGAUACGAUGUGAGUAGAUAGACUCACAGCUCUUAUCCCUGAGGAGAGCUCAACAAAGGCGUGUCGAGUUCAGAAAGGGAACCUUCUACACUCAAGAACUCUUUGACUCGACUGUACAAUUGUUUGACAAACUUGCGUUUUUAAUCCCAAUGCAUAAACACAGAUGAGCAGAGGGUACGAUCUCAAACAGUAAUAAUAGCGGGAAAUAGAUGCAUACUCCUAUCCCGCCAGCCUUAAUCAAGUCCUUCCCUGCCUGGGACAAAGUAAACAAUCACAAACAUCUCGCUACUUAAGGAAGGACUCUCAGACAGUGCGCAAAGAACAGGCCAGUCUUCCCAGACUACAUGGGAGACAGAAGAGAGGUCUACCCAUGUGUCUAUCAACCCAAGCAGCAGCACAAAGCAAGUUCAAAAAACUUCGGGUCUUUAGCGACUCUUAAAAACAAUACGCUGAAAUCAAUCUAAAUUCCAGUCAGAUGAUAAUCACAAAGUCAAAACACAGCAUAAGAACACAACAACAAUGUAAUAAUCAAACAAUUUGCAAUGUGCCCCAAGCACAAUCAAACUCAAGUGAAGCCAAGCACUACCAAAUGAACAAGUUAGGGUUCAAAAAUUAACCCAAAUCAAACCUCAAUAACUUGAAGGCAUCUCCUUAAGGCAUUUGCAUCUAUCAACCUGAAAAGCCAAACUCAAAUAUGAGAAACAAACACUAGACAAGCCUAGGUUCCAAAAGAUGAAAAUCCAAAACAGCAAUGAAAUUUAUUCCAUAAAUCACAAUCAAACAUUUAGAACAAAACCAAUUGCCAUGCUCAUAUCAUUCAUAUCAUCAUCAUAAAAAAAACACAAAAAUGUUAUUUGCAACCUUCAAAAAGGGGCACCAAAACAGAAUAUUCUUAAUCAAAUCCAAACACAUCAAAAACAUUUCAAUAAAUUCCACGCAAAAAAAUUCAGGAGCUAUAAAAACAAAAACACAUUCAAUGAAUAGCAUUAUAUCAAAAUUAAUUCAGGAGAAGCGUCGGGCCCCCCCUUCCACCGCUGCCCACAAAAUUGGAUUCGAGGAAAGUAUGGGAAAAUUAAAUUCCACUAAGUCCCAGACCAAAGUUCAAGCAAACCAACAACAAAGGCAUAUCCAAAUAAACAAUCCAUCAAACUUCCAAUUCUCAAAUCAAUUAAAACAAGAAAUGAAAUUAUGAAUUAAAUGAAAUGUAGUCGAAAAUCGAAAGAAACGAGGUAAUAAAAUUUAAAUUAACCAUCAAUGACCUAUUAAUGUGUCUACCAAUGCUCCCAUUAACCAAAUUUCACCACUUCAUUCAAUAAUCAUGACCAGAAAUUCACAAAAGCAAAAUAUCAACAGUUUAUCCACAAUAAUAUCAAAACAAAAAUGAGAUCCAAAACAGAGGAAAAAAAAAAAAUUCAAUUCAAAUAGGAAAAAUUCCAUCAAAAAUGAAAUCCAGAGAACCAAUUCUUCAUGUAUCUUAACAGAUUCUAUAUUUGCUUCAAUUAUCGCCAAAAUAAAAAAUUGGCUCAAAAUCCAAGUCCCUAAGCCACAUCAAAUAAAAUUCAUGGAGAAAUCCCACCCCAAAGCAAUGGUGUGACACAAAAUUGUCAGCCACCUCUAAUCAAAAAUUUCAUAUCUCAUCAACCAGUAAUCCAAAAAAUUGCAAAACCACAUAUCAAAAUCACCAGGCAAAGGAGUCCAGAAAUCAUAGCCACACAAAAUUUCCAAUGGGAAUUCUAUGGGAAGGCAUCAUCCAUUAUGAUGAAAUGCCAAAAAAACCAUACACACACAUAUGGAGGCAUUACAUUCCAAACAUCCCCUAGCAAUUUAUUUUUCCCCACAUGCAACCAAAAAUUAAAUAAAAAAAUUUCAGCCAUAAAAAACCUACACAUUCACAGGGAGAAUAAUGCAAAAAAUCUCCAUCAAAUUGGACAAAAAAACUGAAUGAAACUUAUGGAUUUUUGAACAUGUGAUUCAAAAAUGAAAUAAUUAAAUGACAAAAGAAAGUGAUGAAAAAUAAUCACCAUAAAUUAUAAUGAAAAUAAUGGCAAAACUUAAAUAUGCUUGCAACGAAAGCAAAACGCGGUCUUUUCAUUUAAUUAUGGGUGCUACGAUGGCUUGCAUGCGGAUGGCGGAAAACAACGAAUUCAAAUCAUUGGCAAGAAAUUUGAAGGAUUUAAACGCAUCCUGAAGCAGCGUUUUUUCAUCCGUUCUUCCACAAGGAAAAAUUCCAGGGGAAGAAAUCAAAAAUGGCAAAAAUCUCAACCAAAAUUCAUUCAUGCAUUACAUCAAUGUGUUCCGUCCUUUCAACUGGAUUUCAUGGAUUUAUGGCAAGCAUUAUGACCUAGAUUCAACGGUAUCGACGGGGAUCGAUCGAGGAAAAGGGGGAAAGAAAAAAAAUAAGGUUUCCACAUCAAAUGUUCAAAUCACGAAUAACUAGAGGCAAUUCCAAUGGAAAAUUCAAUUUACAAAGUUGCAGUUAUGCAGCAAGAAAUGAACUAUCAAGACACAUCAUGAUUUUGAGGAAUUCACGAGAUUCCGAGUUUCGAAACCUUGUGGUGAUGGCAGUGUUUGUAAAUCGCGAUCUUCAAUGUCCAUAAAAAAAGCCAAAACAAUGAGGAAGACAAUGGAUGGGAAGUUGAUUGCAACAAAAGCAAGCUCAGCUCAAAAAAGAUGCUUCAUAAUCCGAAGAAUCAUGAAAAUUGCCAUGGAUUGUGGAGGUUUCAACAGUCCUAAUUCCUCCAAUUUCUUGGGCCUUGAUGGCCCAAAAAAAAUCGGCAGCAAGCCUUGGUCGGUAUGGAUUCCAACAGAAUCAAAGGCAAUUGGAUGAGAAAUCAAGGUAAAUGAUGAAAAAAAAAGUCGUGUGAAAAAUUGGAAAAUUGAGGAGUUUUUGAGGAAAAGUUGGUUAAUCUUGAGAAAUGUUUGAAGUGUAUCUUAUUCAAAUCUAUGUUUUACAAUUAAACUCUUAUACCAAUCGCUUACCACCUUUACUAAAUCACAACUUAGCAAAAAAUCAAACGAUGAAUUAUUGGAAAGCAAACUUUUAUGUAAAAAUAUCAAAAAACCUUUUGCAAAUUAGGCCAAUGUAACAAGCUUUAAAAACCCACUGCCCUGGGAAGCCAAUCACACUUUGAUCAUUUGUUGAUGUGUGAAUAGGCUUGUGUCAAAAAUCCAUUGUAAUUUUGAAAAUUCACCGAUUUUUUUCCCACAAAUUUCCAAAUUAAUCAUCUUUGAAAAAAAUGACCUUUUGCCAUGAUCAUUUGAUGAAAUGGACCAUCAUUCAUGAAAGUAAGCAUGUAAAUGGGUUUCCUCAACAAAGAAAAUCAUUCAAUUUGGCCAUCCAUAUUUUUGUGAAAAUUUAUGCCAACUUUGAAAUUUAAUCAUUUUUAAAAAUGAUUGUGAUUUCAACAACUUGCCAACCACACAUGAGGAAAUGAUAUUUCUUGGACUUUUUGGAAAGGUGAGAGCAAGAUCCUACAAACUUUCCAUGGUUGGACAAAUUCAUUGGAAGAUUUUUGGACCCAACGUAUUUUAGGUUGAAAAAACUCUCCAGUUUGUUUGGCAGUUUCCAAUUACAGGUCCCCCUGCCAUUUUGAAACUUUCAUCUGAACUUUAUUUCUUCAUUUCUAGGAUGUUUGAAAAAAUGGCCAAAAAUGAAAUUAGUUUCAACAUGAAUAUGAAAGUGAAUCAACCCUCUCCCAACCUCCAAUCCAUCAAUCAAGCGCCCAUGACCACAAUUACUUUUCUGACUGAUAAAAUGAAUUUGGUAUCACUGGAUCCAGUUUGAAGGCUCAAACUCCGAUGAAAAUGGGCUCAAUGAUGGAAAACCCUAGCUUCUAUACUCAAUUAUGAUCACAAAAAUGAUCCCCAUAUUCCAUUGAAGAACCUCAUUCUCCUCGCCAAGCUCCUGAAUUGCCCGCAAGUAUGUAUUAGUUGUCACCAUGCUCAAGUAGAAAAACCCUUAAUCCCAGGUAUUCGAAUUCAAUCUUCUUGAUUCCUUAGAGAUAUAACGAAACCAUGACGAUGAUUAUAAUUUCAACAAGUUACAAGCUCACUAUCUCUUGAGAAAUUCAUGAGAUACCUAAUUGAACCCCACCUCCUCAGUAGUUUGAGUGGAUCCAGUUCCAAUGAAACCCUGAGUCUGAUACAUCAAUAAACUUUUCAUCUUCUGCACCCAAGACCGUACGAGGAUGAAGCUGCUCCGAUGGUUACCCACAUGAUAUUCCAAUCAUUGCACAUGCGCCUAAUAUCCUACAAAAAUGUAUAUGCCAAAAAUGCAAACUGAUGCCAAAAGAGGAGGCAAAUUUUGAGGUUACAGCUACACUAUUCAAUAUAUCGAGUCUUAAUGCUUAAUACCAAAGAAGAGUAAUGAAUAAUAUAUAUUUUCUCUACUCUAACUUAUUCACUUACUUGAAAAUUUUAUUUUUAUUCAAGACUCAAAUAAGUCUCUUCCUGACAGACUUACCAAAUCGUGGUUUUCAACUGUAGGGCAAAAAAAAAACAGUAUUCAAUACAUCAAAACAAUCUUUAUCAUAUUAUAAUAUCAAAAUGGCAAUUACAUAAUAACCAAUAUGACAAUAACUACUACCCAAAUCUUGACAAAGGGAGUUAGCUCGCUCAUCUCAUAUUUUCAAUAGCAGGAAAUAUUAGGAAAGAAAAAACUCGUUUUCUUCUUACCAAAAGAAACUAUCAAUAUCAAUGUGUGAAUGAUAAUCUGUUGUGGGGAAAAAUAGUAUAAAGUUUUCUUCCUAAAAAGAUUGACAUUUCUUAUUGACUUCUUUCCAUCCAAAGAAGAAAAAAGCUUCCCAACGGCUCAGGACAAUGUAAAAACCAUGCUUGUUCCUUUCAAAAAUACGAGCCACUUGUUGGACCCAAAAAUCAACUUGGCUAGGGGAUUCGCAAGGAUUCGCUGGGUGUGAACUAUGUCGUGGGCGCGACACGCACAUUGUCAUUCAGGUUCGCGUCGGCGGAACUUUGUUCGGCUGGUUCCGAAAUCUGAAACUUGGCCGUCAAGUCCUUGCUUUGCAAGCUUCAUCCAGAAUUAUCUCAUAUAAAAUGUGUAAAUUUACAUUCAAGAAAACUUGGGUUAAAAGAAGAACAUAAAAUGAUUAUUACAAAGAGUCCUUAUACCAAUGGGUCCCUAAGUACACAGAGUACGGCAGUCCAGUAACUUCCCAGGAAAGACCAUCAAUGGAGAGUAUCUGCUCAACUAGUUCUGCUAAAGGCCGGUUUGAAGAUCUAUGAGCGUCAUAAGUUUGAUUUCCAGAUGAAAACAAUGAGUCUUCAAGAUGGAAAAGACUGUGAAAGAGCCAGUUUUUCUGCAGGAAGGGACCUGAAUCAGACGAAAAUGGACUUUUUGUUGAUGGUCCGUCAAACGGCUUAGAGGAAAGGAAUUGAUGUUGCUUACAAGAGACACUCCGCCACAUAGCUCUUCACCUCGUGCGAACUUUUCAGGAGUCACCCAAUAAUUGCAAGCUCGAGUAUAAGUUACUGCAUGUAUCAUGUUUGAGCAACCCAUGUAAUUUGGAGAGAUCAAGACUUUAGACAUCUUCGGAGCAUUUCAGCUCUGUAACAUCAACUUGCGUUAAUGGUGAUUAGCGACACUCGCCAGCCUACUCUGCCCCUAUAGAAGAUUACCACAAUGGAAAGACUUACUUUCUUCACCAACAUAACAAAAUUGGUACCAUAUACCUCUUCGAUAGAACCCAGAAUGGCAAUCUCCCUGGGCUUUACUCUAUCCUUCCAUAUAUCAACGUGAUCUCGUUGAAAAACCAAUGGCUCCCAAAAGUCAACUUGCAUGCGCCUUGAUGGGGCCGCAUAAUAUCAGUAUUGCUAUCUGAAACUAGUACCCAGGUUGACGAAACAAAAGCCUGGUAAUCACGACAUCAAGCUUCUGAAGAAGCAAGAUACCCACAGGGCAUCCAAACAAUGAUAGGAGACUUAGAAAGAUUCGCAGGCAGCUUCUUCUUAACAAAGACGAUGUCCAUAAUGAGAACUUCAACAUGGUUUUGCUCAAGCGGGACAGACACGAAGCAGACAUAUUAAUGCAAAGUCAAUAGGACUCCUCAGCUCAUGCCGCGGACAUCAGGCUAAGAAAUUGUUGAACAGUACUUACGGCCAGACCAUGGAAUCUGAGUUUCAAAUAUGCCGAAAUGCCAAAAAGCCAGAUUAGCGAUAAUGCAUGUGCCGCCGAAUCCUUGAAUUGAUGUACUUUCGCCGUGCCUUUCCUUAUGUGGCAUCUAUAUGAUUGAAAUGAGUCCGACCGCUGUCAAUCCAUCGCGUCAUCCUUGUGCCCAGCGACUAUUUCACCAAGUGUCAAGCAACAUCUUCCGAAUUGCACCAACACUUGGCUCCGAUCAUCAAGAAAGAAAUCACUUUCGCUAUGGGAUCCCGAACAAAAUCCAUUACUGAUAAUGGUUUUAAUCUCAACAACAAAUAUGAGAAGGAGUGUGCCAGAAUUCAACAUUAAUCAUCACAAUUCUUCCCUUACCGCCCUAGAGGAACGGUUCCUGUUAACGCAAAAAAAAUAAAGAAGUAUUGAGAUAGCAUAGUCGGUUACUACAGAUUGGCAUGAGAUGCUACCCUUCCCUGAGUACCCUACUUCAGACGUAAUCGAUCGGGCAAACCCCUACCCCGUGAUGUAUGACGCAAGUCCUAUCCUGUUGAAGUUGAUUCCUUUCUCUAAAUUCCUCUUGAUGUCAAUUAGACGAAGCGGAAUGUAUUCGGACAAGUUCCAUGGCUUGCUAUCGAAGAGAGCAAUGCAGCCAAUUUUACAGAAUGGCAGCUAUCAAAGUCAUAAGGAGAGCUUUAAUCAGAAUAGAAAGUGCUCCUCGAUCUUCCAGCGAGUUGGAUGUUGAAAGAUCCUCCUCCAUCAACAGAUCACAUGGGCAAGUGGACUCCUAACUAUAUGGACCGUUAUAUGUCACCAAUUCUUUGAGGCUGGGCAUUAACUGCUGCAACAUGAUGUGAAAACACUUCACUUCCCCAGAACUCAACGCUGUUAAAAAAUACUUCGCAUAAAUAGACCCGCGGACAAUAACAAAGAUUAUUCCAGCAAAAAUUGUGCAUCCCAGCGAACCAAAGAAAAUGAAAAAGGUUCGGGCAAAAAUAUAGGAAUUAAAAAUGAAAAGAUUUGUACACCCGUAAAGUGAAAACCUUUAAAGGCAACUUAGGCAAAAAAUGUAUCCCGGUGGAUUUAAAACCCAACAAGGGGGCGAUCUAUGGCAAAAGUUUAGGUAUAAGCACAUGACUGCGUUCUUAUAUGUUCUAAUCUCAUUCUCGUGUCAAGACUGAAACUUUCUGAAUGAUUAGCGAAACAGUCCAAUCACUCUUCGAACAGCGGAUCAUCUGGAGAUCUUGAAGACGAGCAGUCUAUCAGCAGAAUUGAACCCAAUAAAAUCCCAUCACAUUGUCAUUUAGAUAGUCUGUUAUCUGUUGGCCGAUUCUCUUCCAGGGAUUGCGUCCCGAUGUAAAUGCCUAUUCAGAGGCCUUCAAGCAAUAAAAUCAUGUAUUCAUAUUAUUAUCCGUUUUCACUUAUUUUUUUUUGUUACAUAAAUACUCCAUUUUUAUAAACAUUCUGCAUCAGACACAUAACGAGCUUACAGGUACAUGCUUAAGAACAUUAAAAAAUUUUGUAAAUUUUAACGUGACUCUGUCGUCUUUCAUGAACAACAGGUACCCUCGGGGCAUUUCCUUAAAAUCCCCUGCAGAUGAUCGUGAAUGUUUUCCCCAACAGACGAAUUCGGUAUCUUAUCCCUGCAGAGCUGAUCAGAGCAUUGGAUUCUUCAAUCCCCAGCAAGUUCUCACCACUGUACCUCCCCCUAAGCGGUGGUUUCAGAUUAUACACUCCCCAGUAGAGUUGACAGUGUCAGACUAUAUACCCCCAUCGGAGUUGACAGUGCCAGACUGUAUCUUCCCAGCAGAAGCGGCUGCUCCUCAGAGUUCGAGGCCAGAUCGAUAAUCCCAAUGCCAGAUCCAUGGUUUCUUUCCCUAAAGCAGAACCUCGGUACUGUAUCGGUGUUUGCUUCCCCUGCUGAGUCAUCUCUUGCAGAUCGUGGUUGCCAGAAUCACUAUCGCUUUCCCCAACAACAGGUUUUCAGUGUCGUUCUCUCCCUAAUCAGAAUCUCGGUAUUUCGUCAUUGCUAGAACACCGUGUGGCGGGUCAUUUCCCCACAGAAUUCUUUGCGCUGUGCAUCUCCAGCAGCCUUGCCAGGGUCCAGAAGAUGGUGAUCAUUUCCCCAGCAGAUCCCCUUGCCUCAGCUUGGCAUUCUACCCAGCAUUUCGCAUCCCUGCAUGUAGAAUCAUAUUGCAUUGCANNNNNNNNNNNNNAGUACGCCUCGGGCAUUUCUUAAAGAUCGCCCUGGCAGAUGGAUCGUGAAUGUUUUCCCCAAACAGACGAGAUUCGGUAUCUUAUGCGCUGCAGAGCUGAAUCAGCAGCAUUGGAUUCUUCAAUCCCCAGCAAGUUUCUCACCACUAGUAAACGCGUCCCCCAUAAGAGCGGUGGUUUCAGAUUAUACAAGCUGGCCCGAGCAGUAGAGUUGAGCAGUGUCAGAGCUAUAUACCGCCCAUGGCCGGAAGUUGACAGUGCAAGAACUGUAUCUUGCGCAGCAGAAAAGGCGGCUGCUCCUCAGAGUUCGAGGCCAGAUGCGAUAAUCCCAAUGGCAGAUCCCAUGGUUUCUUUCCCUAAAGCAGCAACCUCGGUACUAGUAUCGGUGUUUGCUUCCGCGCUGCUGAGUCAUCUCUUGCAGAUGGCGUGGUUGGCGCAGAAAUCACUAUCGGUUUCCCCAACAAAACAGGUUCAGUGUCGUUCUCUCGCGCUAAAUCAGAAAUCUCGUAUUUCGUCAUUGGCUUAAACACCGUGUGGCGGGUCAUUUCCCACAGAAUUCUUUGCUGCUGUGCAUCUUGCCAGGCAGCCUUGUCCUAGGGUCGCAGACAGAUGUGAUCAUUUGCCAGCCAGCAGAUCCCCGUUCUCAGCAUUGGCAUUCUAGCCGCACAGGCAUAUUCGCAUCCGCUGCAUGUAGAAUCAUAUUGGCCAUUGCAAAUCGCGUAAGGCAUUUCCAUUUUUCCCCAUGGAGGCAUUACCCAUUAGAAAAAUUCAAACAUACCGCAUUCGUAAGUAUAAAACAUUCUCCGUAUCCACAAGUGAUAAGCUAGAAGUCGGUUUUCAGUACUCCAGAGCUGAAAGAUUGUUCAUAACUUACGCUUUGUAUCCCUAGGCAAGAUGUCAUUGCCCGAUGCGCGCGCUCUACUUAUCGUUUCCCCAUAUUUCUUGCCGAUGCCGACAGGCAUGAAGUUUCCGGUAUUCAGACCGAAGUGGCGUUUAGGGGCCAGUUUUUCGCGAUGUUCAGAUCGAAGUAAGUUUCAGAAGUCAGGUCGAUAAACAGUUUUUUAUGUUUUUUUUUUUUUUUAGUUGUGCGUUCAGGUCAAUUUUCCAGAUGUUCAGAUCGAGAAGUUUCCGACGUCAGGUCGAUGCAAACUUGUGGAGCGUUUCAGGCGCAGUUUUGCCGAUGUUCAGCAUCGAAGAAGUUUCCCGACGUCAUGUGGGUCGAUGCAACUUGUGGCAUUCAGGGCCAUUUCCGAUGUUUCAGAUCGAGAAAGUUUCCGACGUUGCAAGGUCGAGCAACUUGUGGCAUCAAGUGCAGCCUCUCGGUGUUCAGAGCGCGAUAUUAAUAAUCUCAUAUCUCCCCGAUGGUUGGAAAUCGAAGUCAUUUCCAGUAUUCAGACUGAUGAAGCGACCAAUUCAGGCCAUGGUUAUUUCCUGUUUAACCAUUAUUUUGGAUUCGCAGGUUAACAUUCUUUUGCGGGUAUUGCAGACUGACACUCUCACCGUAACAGACGAUUCUUCUUUCAAGACCACGCGUCUUUGGCCAGAUUCUGACAGGCAUUGUUAGCUUCAGCUUCAGCUUCAAGUGGCAAAUUUUCGGGCAUUUUAUUUGUAUUCAUCGCCUUGAUACCUCGAAAGCACGAAAGCCGCUGCUAUCUUCUUUCCAGGUCUCCAGCUUGAUUGGAAUAGGGGCAGCUCGUAAUACGCCCAGCAAAUUUACCCUUCAUUUUUCCUGGAAACGAUACGCUUACACCUCAUGCAUGCAUUCAGUUUUAGGUCAUUUAGCAUUUGCAUUUCAUCAUGGGCACAAUCAGAAUCGGAUCGCACAGAAGUUUGAAUCAUCAAUCCAAGUACAUUUUUGUGGGUCCUAAUUUAGAUGAUUAGUCAACACAAAAGAAGAAGACUUCAGUUACUUCAACAGGGUCAUAUUGUCAGUCAAAACGUUAAUCUUGAAGGAGCAAAGUUUGUUUCAUGAGUUGUCAUACUCGCUAGGCGAAGCCCACGUGUUUGAAAAAAAAAAACGAAAAAACGAAAAGUAAAAAACGAAAAACAAAAAAAAAAAUAAUAAUAAUAAUAAUAAUAAAUAAUAAAUAAAAGAAAAAACUUUGACUUGACGGCUCUCUCAUUUGAGAACCACAGGUCGCACAAAUCAGGUUAUGAGAAUUCAGAGUUUAGUGAACAAAAGGCAAUUCAUUCGCUAUUACCCUGUCCUGGGAAAAAGAUAGUGAGAGAAGAACCGCUGGUAAGUGUGGAGAAGAGCUAAACAGAGUUUUAGAAGCAGCCUCCAACCCUGAAGGGAAACUCAACUGGAAAAAAAGCAGCAGAAUCACCUUUGGCCUCAGCAAAACCCUAAGAUUGUUGUUGUAAACCUCACGGGUGCAACUCAAAUUCAAAUCAAGCUCUCCCAAUCAGGUUUGCCGCUAUAUCGCAUCAUCUUUAUGCGCUUUAAAUUUUGAAUGCUCUAUGUAAUGAGGUAUAUGGGUGAAAUUUGGAUACCUCUUGAUGCAUUGUGUUUGACAAGAGGUUUUAGGCCUCCUACCCUUGGUUGCUUUUUGUGAGCUUUUGGAAUUUUAAUGCACGAUUCAUGUGGUUAUUACAUUUUUGAUUUGGGGGCAACUCUGGUUACCCUAUUUUGUUUCUCUAACCUGUUUGUUGAGUUUUGUUUUGAUGAGGGCUCAUAUGACUCUUGUAGAGAUGGUUUGGCCCUGGUGUUCCACUUUAUUUGUGUGGAUACCGCCCUGGAGGUUCAUUCCGGUUACCUGUACUGACCACUUUUCUUUGAUGAUGGUUAAGCUAUGGAGGGUCUCAGGGUUUAUCGUUCCUAUUAAUUGAUGUUAACCUGCGAUGCUUCAUUCCGUGUGGUCCUUUUACAUUUUCGCGCAUUUUAACUGCUUUUCCUAGUUGGAAGACCUCGAUAGGAAGGCAAUGUUUUUUGUGUUUACUUUAUGGGCAGGUUCCUUCGUAAAUGGACUGCCCUUUUUUGCAUAAGCAUCCCAACGUGGUGGGUUCCUAACCCUUCAUUGAUUUUCUUCUGCACUAAACACAUGUUUACUCCUUUCUACUACAGGUAGAGUAAGUCUCCCAAAGGUCGAAGGUCGAGCAUCCGGUAGAUUGCGUAGUAACGUCGUUCGUCCAAAAUCCAAUCCAUAACCCCGUAGUUAGCCGAACUACGGCUUGCUCUGAUUCUCAUUCCAGAUGAGAUACGUAGGCAUAAGACGCAAUGUCUUAGCGAGCACACAUCCCCCAAACCCAUAGGUCAGUCGAGCUACGAAGACUCUGAUUCUCAUCUUCAGAUGAGAUACGUAUGCAGUGGAUGCGACAUUCGCGUGAGUCAUUUUCAUUUAACCCCUUUUUUAGUGAACAGCACAAGAUAAACUCACACCCUUGAGACAAGAACUACAAAAGUGGAUCCCGUAGAGUACUACGGAUGCGUAGGGGUGCUAAUACCUUCCCUUCGCAUAACCGACUCCCGAACCCAAGAUUUGGUUGCUAGAUCUUGUCUUUUCCUUUCCUCUUUUCAGGUUUACUUCGAGCGUUUCCUUUCCCUCCUUUGGGAUAAAUAACGCACGGUGGCGACUCUUCUGUCAUUUUCUUUCGCCGGUUGUUUUUUCGUACACUGUAUUUUUACUCUUUUCAGGUUUACUUCGAGCGUUUCCUUUCCCUCCUUUGGGAUAAAUAACGCACGGUGGCGACUCUUCUGUCAUUUUCUUUCGCCGGUUGUUUUUUCGUACACUGUAUUUUUCAGGUUGCGACAUUAACCAUAUGCGUUAACUGGUUAACAUUGUUCUAAAAAGUGUUUAGAAAGCACAACUCUUGUGCAGUCACAAUCCCAAUCGCAUAACUCUCUGACAACACAACCCUUGUGCCGUCACUAACCCUGAUGCACCAAUUUCAGACCGUCAAGCACAUCUCGAUUGUUGAUUUAGUAUGAUUGAUCAACACGUCAUUGCUUCACCAUACUAAUGUCGGAUCAAGAAGCAAACAACCAUUGAUCGCUCAAAGGAAAACAACCAUUGAGUGUUUUAAUGAACGAAACGAGAACACUAUAUCAUAUAUAAUGUAUUUUGCAUCAGGAUUACAUAUAUCAUAUAUAUAACUUGAUCGAUCUCAAUUUAAUCUUUGAUUCAUUCUAUCUUUAAUCGUAUUAAUACAGAAAAUAAACAGUUAUCAGAUUCAUGGUUUCGUAAGUGGCCUCUGAUCUACACUGGAAGGAGAAUUGCCAAUCCAAGGCGCAGCGGAACUUUAAAAUUUUCUCUUUAAUGAUCCUUCACGAUGGGCACUGAUCAGUGAUAGAAUCGUUACUCUCUGUGGCGAUCACGAACGUUGACGAUGCAACGCCUCUACUCAGUCCACGACAGAUUCCUUCAAUCUCAGUGCUAGCUGGCUAUGAAAUGAAGGCUUUGAGUGAGGAGAGAGAAGAGAGAAAGCGAAAUGCCAAUGAGUGACAAGCUUUUACCCAAGGGUUCUAUUUAUAGAAGCACUUGUUUGUGGGCUUCAAGCUAAAACAAGCCCACUUAAGUGAUUUUGACCCAUAUCUAAUAUGCUCAAAAUACUUAAGCGUGUGGUACCUGACCAUAUUUCGUAUUCCACUUAAGUGCACCCGUACCUUACGAUGUUCCUUAGUUACUUCUAUCUCUCAUACAAUCCGUCCUUUGUGUGUGACCCUGUAGGUUUUCGCGACGUUGGAAUUAAUGUUUAAUCACACAUUUAACAUAAUAAACAGUGAGCGGUAUCUAGCAACACAUCACUGCUACCUAAGUCAUGAAAUGUCAGCGAUCUGACAAUCUUCUGUGGAUAAUAAUUAUGUGUAUAAUAUCCUUUUGCCCUUAUGUCUCAUAUUGAAAACAAGGUAUAGACCGUGUAUCCUUGUCGCUUCAAUAUUGGGCCCAUAGACAUUUAUCCUGUUACGCAGGAUAGGAAAAUUUAUCUAGGUCAACUCAUGCCUCGCAUGCUUCGUAGGGUACCCAUCAACUGUCUUUAUGGUUAUCUAGUUACGGACAAUGUGAUCAGCAAUAAACACUCGACUCUACAUCUAGGAUCCAUAGUGGUUUCAGGGUCGAAGAGUGGUAUACACCGAUUAUCACCAUGAGAAUAACUUAUGACAUUUUGCAUAACUUUCUAUACAGUAUUCUCAUACGCGGUCAAUCCGGUAUAAUAUUACUCUUAAUAUUCAUACCUAUGUUAAGACUUGAUACUCUUUAUCCAUGAUCCACGAGAUGUGAUCAUCAGUCUACAAACAUAAUAGUUCAAUGGCUUUAAUGUUAUCCCAUCUCACAAUAAAGCUCGAACUACGGAUACUUUAAGAUAGAUGUCCUUAUGUUUAAUGUGAUCUCAUGAUUUUACAGUCAUACUUGAUACAUUAAACGGACUAGCUAUUCUAGGGACUUUAUUAAACAAACAUAAUAAAGAAAAUGCCUUUUAUUAUUAAUAAAUAAUUCGAUACAAGUACCAAAAGUAUUGGCCUCUAAGGCUUACACCAACAAACAUUAGAUGUUUGAUCCAAGUUCAAAUGCUCUAAUUUGUUAGUAUGACUGCUAAAUAAUGAAUUAUAAUAGUUAUUUUCUUAUUCCUCGAAUGAAUUGAGUAAUAAGUAUCGACAAGAAAGGUAGGAAUGCUAUUCUUGGUCAUGAAGAUGCAGAUUGAAGGCAAGUCCACAAAAUCCUCAAUGUUGGGGAAUAAGACUAUCUCAUAUAUGAGGAGAGCAAGUAUUGCAUUGAAAACAUCCCAAAUUUUGGUAUCAGCAAAUGUCAUAGCUUUGUCCAUCAAGAACUUCAUGGUGAAACCAUAAGUACCACCCAUAGGCUUGAGGUUGAUUUCUACAUCUUUUUUCCCAACUAGAGUGCUUCAGCUAUCUGGUGAAACUUAAGAAGUUCCUUCAGGCUAUUGAGUGGAACUUGAUCUUUGAUCUCAAUUCCCAAGAUAUGUUAAUAUUUUUCCAGUGUGGGAGUCAACUGAUAAUCUUAAAAGGUAAAGCAUCUCAACGGAAGAUCGUAGUACUACACAAGGGUAUGGAUGACCAUUACAUUGACUUUAGUGUUCAGAUACUCAGGAGGUUGCCAUAGCCUUUCUUAAAAUCAUCUCUAUUAUCAAGAACUAAAAUGGAUCCCAAUCCUCUUAGAGCCUUCAACUAAGGUUCCAUGAACUUGUAAUUAUAGGUAAUCUUUCUUCCAGUACUUAUCUUCUUUGGAAUACUCAACAAAGGUUGAUACUUUUGGAUUCCCUGGAAAUGGUAUGCAUAUGCUAAAUUAGUUUUUUAUGUUGAUAUGAUGUAAUUAUAUGCAACAUCAUGAGUUCAAAGGUUCGACAUAUUCUGGAUAAACUACAUAUAAUUCUCAAGGUAUAGGUUCGACGUAUUCAUGAUUCUCAAGGUAGGUAGAGUUUUAUGUUUUCUACAAAGAUUGAUACUUAAUGAUUUGCAACGACUAGAUAUAUUUUCCUUCCUUUUAUGGAACUUACAAACGAUUAUUUUCAACUUCUAUUCGAUUAGGAAUAGGUGAUAGUCGGUUAGAUUAUUACAAAAUACUUUUAUUUAAAUUUCCUUUUUGAGCCAACCUUAUACCUAUAAAUAGAGGUUCAAUUUUUCAUUUCAAAUCAUCCAGAAUCGUAUUUUGACAAUUUCAUCUCUCACACUCUCUCUCUCUCUCCAAACAUUUAUUUAAUUUUCUCUCACUAUGUUUGUAGUCUAAGUGCUUUUGUGACAAAAGUUAUUUUGUAAGUCAUAUCAUUUUUGUAAUUUUAUAAUAGGUAGAAUUGUAAAACUCACCAAGGGAACCUUUUGUGUAUACCUUGGUUGAAUACUGUUUAAUUAGUGAUUUACUUGGGUUAAAGUUAAACCCGUAAAAAGCUUAUGGUUGGGAUUGGGAAUUUUAAUCCUAGUUUAGGUUAGAGAUCAGCCCGUAUAAAAUCUCAUAGGUUAUUAGUCAGCCCGGUGUUAAAAUUAAGAUAGAUUGAAACUCAACCCGAUACUUAAAAGCUCCACAUGUUUGACAUCAGUCUGGUGUUAAAAUCUCAUGGAUUUUUGGUUAGCCUAGUUAAAACCAAGGUAUUAAACUCAAAGAUUAUGGAACUCGAAGACUAAUCGCUACAAGGUCUGUGUCUAUGGAGAGAAGACUAACCACUUCAAUCCACCAUUUGGGAAGUAAGAUUGUCCCAUUCGCUCUCAAGCUUAUUAUAAAGAAAAGACGCAAACAUCCACAUCCAUCAUCUUGUAUACUUUGAUUGAAGAUCAUUCACCAUUUCCUCGUAUAAUGGGGGUUCAUGAGUCUUUUCUACUAAAAGAUCUCAAAAUAUUAUUGGAAACUCUCAAAAUCAAUCAUUGGGGAUAUUAGUAGGUCCUUUUGUUUUUGACCGAACCUCUAUAAUUCUUGGUGUUUCUCUUUUCACUGAACUCCUUUUGUUUCCACAUUUUAUUUUCCGCUGCUUAGUUUUUAAAAUGGUUUUAAACUCUGAUUUUAUUUCCUAAAGUUUUUCAAAACCACGUUUUUCUAAAGCAUACAAUUCACCCCUUUGUGUGUGAAGUCCAAAGUACAACAAUUGGUAUCAGAGUCUAACUCAUAUUUAAGGACUAAUUGUCUUAGGAGAAAGAUGACUUUUGACAAGAUAUUUUUUAAACACCACCACUUUUAAAAAAAUAGCAAGAACUUAUUUCUUCUUGCACGCUAGGUUUAAAAUCAUUUUUUAUUCAAAGUAUAAAAACUAUUUUCAAUAGUCUGUUAUCUAUACUCAUAAAGUAAAUAAUGAAAUAGUAGAUAAAACCACUUUUUUAGACCAAAGAGGAAAAGAUACAAUUUGAAAUAAGGGAUCUUAAAGGUUAUGGAAGGAAGAUUGACCCCUUCACUCUCAAGCUCAUUAUGAAGAAAAGACGCAAACACCCAUAUUCAUCGUCUUGUAUAUUGUGAUUGAAGAUCAAUCACCAUUUUCUUGCAUAAGGGAGUUCGCGAGUCUUUCUUGCUAAAAGCUCUCAAAGUAUUAUUGGAAACUCUCAAGAUCAACUCUUGGGGAGAAGAGUGGGUCCUUUUGUUUUUGAUUGAACCUCUAUAAUUCUUGGUGUUUCUCUUUUACCUUAACUACUUUUAUUACUACAUUUUAUUUUUUGCUACUUUGUUUUAAAAAUGGUUUUAAACUCUGAUUUUAUUUCCCAAAGUUUUUAAAAAUCAUGUUUUUCUAAACCACACAAUUCACCCCCCUCUUGUGUGAGAAGUCUCAAGUACAACACUGAUCUCCUUUACGAUGGUGCAGGGUGGACUUUCUUGGCUAGCAAUACAACACUCAUUUCAAUUCAAAACUCAAGACAAGUAUGGUAAAAACUGGAGACUAUAGAUUGUAACCUACUCUUAGCAUGUGAACUAUUUUUAUAUUUUAUUUCAAAUAGAGUGAAUUUUGAGAUGAAUUGGGCCUUGGUCUAUUGGGCCAUUGGCCGAUCCAAAAUAUGGACCAUGAUUAAUAACUGAUUCUUUGUGUGUUAUGUGAUUAUCUAAAACGAUAUUUUGAUUGACUUGAAUAUUUUGAAUGUUUAUAAUUUUGAUUAAAGUUAAUCUUUGGAUUGUGAUUAUUUAUUUAAGACUGAUUAUUUAAAUCUAUGUUUCCAGUAUGUUAUGAGAACUUUAGUGUUAUAGAUUUAAAAUAGAUUAAUAUAAAUUAUAUACCUUUGUUUAGAGUAUAUAAUACUGUCUUGAAGUAAUGAAUCACCUAUUUUUCUUGGUUAAUCCAUUUGUUUAAGACCCUUUAAGAAAAACUACUUUUAAGGAAAACAAUUUUUUUCAAUUAAACCAAAAUCACUAUCAUGUCUUAAUUUAACAGUCUGACUUUCAUAUAUUAAAUACCCGUCCCCAUCUUUUAGAGUAUCAACUUAUAUAUAUAUGAUGUUGUCUCUAUUUUAGUAAAAAACAUAUGUAACAAAUAUUAGAAGUUAGAACAAUAACUUAAUUUCUCAUAAUAUGGUGUAAAACUAAAAGUUUGCGCAAUGUAUGUGAUUUAUAUAAUUUUCAUAAUCCUAAGACUAAUAGGAAACUAAUCACACACAAAAGAAUAACUAAAGUAUACAUUAUAAUAUUGUGCAUAAUAAAAAAUACAAAAGAGAGUAGAUAAAACAAUUUAAAAGAACCUGCUACUAAAAUGCAACUUAGUUUUUAUGAGAGUUUUUUUUACACGAACUUUUAUGAGAGUUGAACAAAGCAAAACGUAGAAAAAUAAACAAAUAAUUUUAAAGAUUUAUAGUGUCCAAAGCAAAGACCAAACAUGUCUAUUUAUACUAAUGCUAAAUCAGAUCCAUUGAUCCCUCAAUAGCUAAUAAUAAGUGCAUUUAAAAAACACAAUAAUAUUAGAGUGAAAUGAAAAAAUUGUAAUAGAUAAUAUAAAAAUAAAACUGACAAAAUUGUGGAUGUUCGAACAUCUUAGCCUUAAUCUUUGAAUCUUUAUUCUACUCCACUUCAUACUCCUGGAAUACAAUGACAUAAUUAAAUAAUAAAACGAUAAAAACAUCACUUAUCACUUAUACACCUUCCACACAUUCAUUACCAGAUCAUACAUAAAGAUUUUUCCAACACCAUUAUCAUAUUCCAAUCACUCUAAACAUUGCAUUUUUUUCCAUUUGUCAUUGUAGAGUAGUGUCUUAAGAGGAGAGAAUGUACAAUAAACAUCCUUAUUCACAUAGUUGUCAUAGGGGGCAAUGAUAAAACUUUCAAAAUAGACAAUACAAACCUUCAAUCUAAAUAGAAACCAUUGAAUAAUACAAAACUUGUGCCUCUUCAAAAUAUCUUUUCACAUAUGCAAUGCAAUAUUUAUUUCACACUCAUAAAUAUUAAAAAAGAAUUAUAAAUAUGAAUAGUGUGAGAAAAUCUCACAUUAAUAAAAAAUGUGAAGGAGAAUCCAAAAUAUAUGGUGUGUCUCUACCUUCUAAAUUAAUCCUAAUAGUAUAUAAUGCUAUAUUACAAUUUACACACAAUCUUUUAACAUAUUUUUUUAAUCGACUUGCAUUAGAUAAUAUGGACUAGUUUUCCACUAUUGUUAAAGUAAUAUGUAAUGUCAUUACAUAUAAAAAUAUUUUUAUAUUUUUUAUUAAUUUUGUCAAAUUUUAUUUUCUUUAUUGAUUAUAAUUUUUGUGAGUUCACCAAAUCACAUGUUAACAUUAUAUUUAAUAGGACGCAUAUUAAUUUUAACUCAUAAAACUGUUUGAAAGUAUGCAUCAAAAAAACACAGUAGUGUGUUUUUAGUGUUAUUCUUUUAUUUCUUUAAAGAAAAAAGCAUGAGACGUGAUGAAAAAUGACGUGUCCUGCGGGGGAACAAUGGCAUAUUCGAAUAUUCAUAUUCAUAUUUGCAUUCUAAGAACAAAAACUUCUAGCGAAAUCCAACUUCACGCAAACCGGUAUCUUUUUAGUCAAAAACAUUUCACCUUUUUUCUUUAGUGUUCCAUAAAUAAAUAAAUAUUUUAUGAAGUUCUAAAAAUUCUAAAAUAAAUAUAAGUACUUAAUUCAGAUUUAUCAUUCCUUUUACUUUUUGUUAUAAAAGUUUCUAAAUCAUACAUUUAAAUUAUCUUUGCUAAAAAUAGUUGACUGAUAAAUAAUUUAUAGUGAUGAUGAAUGAUUAAUUAUUAUGAUUAAUAGUUUAUACUUUAUAAUUGAUAAUUUAUAAAUAAUAAGUUAAUUCAAAUAUUUAAUAAAAUUAACGAUUUAAUUAAUUUAUAAAUGACAUAAAAAUAUAUUUAUUUUAUUUUAAAUUAAAAAUAAAAUUUAAAAUUUAUAGAGAGUUUUUAUUAAAAUAAUAAAGAUAAAAAUAAAAAAAAAUAUGAUAAAUUAUAAAUUAUAAGAUAAAAUGGUAUUUGAAAUUACAUCUAAAAAUUAAGUUAUAAACUCAUUAUAAAAAACCCUUAUUAAAUGAGUCAAAAUUAUAGACCCUGGUUAAAUGAGUCAAAAUUAUCGUAUAAGUAUAUAAGCUAUAAUUUUUUUAAAUUUUAAUUAUAGUAUAAAAUUUAUACUUUUCAAAUAGCAAACUGUUUUUACAAACCGUAAAGUCAGACACCCACAGAUUAAAUAUUUUUGAAAAAAUAAUAAUUAAAAGGUUUAACUAUAAUUAGGAAAGUUGUACUCCAAUUUAGCCAUUUUCACUUUUCUCUUAUUUUCUCCGUCUAAAGCGACUCUUCUUAAGUUCACGUAAGUUCCUUCCUUUUAAAUUAAAAAAAAUCCAAAAAAGAAAAACAAACAAUAAAAAACUAAAAAUAUCAACGCUAAUAAACCCAAAAAAAAACUGUAUUUAUAUCAAACGAACCAAGCACAACACAACACAAAUUCAAAAGGCAAAGGGUUUGGUCUUCGUUAGGUUAUUACUGUGACAUUUGUGCAGUUACUUGCGGCUCAACCAGAAAUUGUUAGGUAUGUCUUUUUCUGAGAUUUCAAUGUUCCACACACCGUUUCACUUCUCUGCAUCAAUCUCAUCCUUUGAAUUUCAUUUUGAUUUUAUUCAUCAAAUCAUAGAUUUAAGAUUCAUAUUUUUAACAAUCAAUUUUUAUUAAUUUUAGUUUUUGUUUUAAAUUUUAAUUCUUAGAUUUGAAUUUGGGAACUGCAUGAGAUCUAAAUUUAAUGGUUAAAUUAAAUUAAAUUAAAUUUAACAAUAUACAAACAUAAUCAGAAUUGAUUUGUGAUGUUUAUAUAGAGAGAAUAUAUGAUGAAAUUUGCUGUUGAUUAGUUUGUUAAGAUUGGAUUUUUGGGUUUGUUUUUGAAUCAGAAUCUGUUAUAGAAAAGAAGAAGAAAGAUGGGUAGCUCAGAUUUCUCAUGGAAAUUACCGGAUCAUCCUAAGCUUCCAAAGGGAAAGACUAUUGCUGUUGUUGUUUUGGAUGGUUGGGGUGAGGCUAACGCAAAUGAGUACAACUGUAUCCACAUCGCUGAAACACCCACCAUGGAUUCUCUUAAAAAGGUAUAAUAAUAGUAAUUAAUAACUAUACAUACACCUGUUUUGUUUUUCAGUUUCUCUUUUGAUUGAACUUGUUUGGGUUGAUUCUGCUUAGAUCUGUUGCUGUUUUGUGUUUUCCUUGAAGAUGAAAAUGAAUGGUGGGAGCUUUUUUUUUUGUUAUAUUGUAGGGUGCACCUGAACAUUGGAGAUUGGUUAGGGCUCAUGGUAAAGCUGUAGGACUUCCAACAGAGGAUGACAUGGGCAACAGUGAAGUGGGUCACAACGCACUCGGUGCUGGGCGUAUAUUUGCUCAAGGGUAAUUUGAAAUAGCUUCUAUUCUCAAUCUAUUUGGUUUGGCCUCAUAUUUUCAAUAUUAUGUUUUUUUUUUCUUCAUUUACUCACUUCUGUAAGAACUUGGUCUUCGUGUAGCUGGUGUGGUGUUUCUUGAUUUACCAUUUCAGAAAAUGUGAACUGAUUUUGUUUCUUGAAACAUUUGGAUUCGCUGCGCCUAUUUUUUAUGUCAUGGUUGCGCCAUAGCAGUUCCUGCUGUGUCUUGUUCUGUGAUCCUGCUAUGCGGCUUUGCCUUACUGUGCAUCUCGUUUUCCCCCGGACUUGCAUUUUUCUGUUUGGAUGGAAACUGUUUUGUAUCUUGAUGUCAAUAAAAUUUUGUUAGUGGUAUUAGGAUUGGUUGUUACAUACUAUCUUGAAAUGUUUCUCUGAUUCUUUCCUAUUGUCUAUGCAUAUUGACUGUGCUAUCAUAUUCCUAGCACAUGUGAUGAUUCGGAUGUACUGAUUUAUGUUUUGUUUAUUGUAGUGCAAAGCUUGUUGACCUUGCUCUUGAGUCUGGAAAGAUUUUCGAUGGAGAAGGUUUCAAUUACAUCAAGGAAAGUUUCGAAACUGGUACAUUGCAUCUUAUUGGACUACUGAGUGAUGGUGGAGUUCACUCCAGGCUUGAUCAAGUUCAGGUGAUUUAAUGUGUUCGAAUUUGUGUCUUCAUGUUUGCAAAAUUUUAUGCCUUCUAAAUUCUAAGUAACUAUUUUUGUACAGUUGUUGCUUAAAGGGGCUAGUGAGCGAGGUGUUAAGAGAGUCCGUCUCCAUAUUCUUACGGAUGGUCGCGAUGUUUUGGAUGGCUCAAGUGUAGCUUUUGUGGAAACCCUUGAAAAUGAUCUUGCAAAAUUGCGUGAGAAAGGUGUUGAUGCACAGAUUGCAUCAGGUGGAGGUCGCAUGAAUGUAACAAUGGAUCGUUAUGAGGUAUUGUGUUACAUUUAUCCACCAUUUCAUUUAAAAUAAUUCCACAGUUCCUUUUUUGCCUUUCUGUUUGUGUAGCUAUUUGUCUUAUACACUGGUCAAUUUUAAUAUUUUUAUUGAGAAUGUGAUUCUUUGUUGUAUUGACAUAUUGGCUCGGAAGUUUGAUAAAAGGAAAGACAGUAUUUUUUUCUUCUGAAAAACCAUGACUGCUUAAACCGAAGGAUUAAGUUAUGGGUGAAACUGCUGUGUAAUCUCAUUUAUAUAUCUUAUUUAUUGUGAAAACAUUGGAGUUAUGUGUUUUCCUUUUUGUGAUUAACUUUUGUAUUCAAAUUCUUAUUUUUAUACGGCAAAUAAUAUUUUUGAUGUUAUAUAUGAAUAAUAUAAAUGAUUUCAAAACAACCUGCAGAAUGACUGGAGUGUUGUUAAACGUGGAUGGGAUGCUCAAGUUCUUGGUGAAGCACCUUAUAAGUUCAAAAGUGCUCUUGAAGCUGUCAAGACACUGAGGGCAGAACCAAAGGCCAAUGACCAGUAUCUGCCUCCUUUUGUUAUUGUUGACGAGAGUGGAAAAUCUGUUGGUCCUAUAGUUGAUGGCGAUGCCGUUGUUACAUUUAACUUCCGGGCAGAUCGUAUGACUAUGCUUGCUAAGGCUCUUGAAUAUGAAAACUUUGACAAAUUUGAUAGAGUACGUUUCCCUAAAAUCCGUUAUGCUGGUAUGCUUGAAUACGAUGGUGAAUUGAAGCUUCCACGCAAAUACCUUGUUUCUCCCCCAGAGAUCGAAAGGACUUCUGGAGAAUAUUUAGUUAAAAAUGGUGUUCGCACUUUUGCUUGCAGGUGAGUUAUUGUUUAAUCUGUUGGCUUUCUCUUGAAUAUUGUAAUAGUUUCUCACCUUCAUGCCAAUCCUUGAACUUGGUAAAUGACUAUUCUAUUCUUGACGGUGAAAUUUUUGUAACUAUGCAACUAAAAGUCAUCAUGUCCUUUAUGAAACUACUACCCUGAUGGUAGUUUUUAGCUUAGGCGCUCUGCAUUAUCUAAAGCAUUUGAUUUUAAAUGAUAGCUAUCAUAAUCACUUGUGAGUUUCUUCUUCUACAGUGAGACUGUUAAGUUUGGUCAUGUCACAUUUUUCUGGAACGGAAACCGAUCUGGGUAUUUUGAUGAGAAACUGGAGGAAUAUGUUGAGAUUCCCAGUGACUCUGGCAUUACAUUCAAUGAAAAGCCAAUAAUGAAGGCCGUGGAGAUUGCUGAGAAGGCAAGGGAAGCAAUUCUUAGCGGGAAAUUUGAUCAGGUAAUUAAACAAAUAAUCAGGUGAUUUUAAGAUUCAUUGUCUAAUGAUAGACUUUUAGUUUCUAUCUUAAUAUUUUUCUGUUGUGUAGAUUCGUGUCAACCUUCCAAACGGUGACAUGGUGGGACAUACAGGAGACAUUGAAGCAACUGUUGUGGCAUGUAAGGCAGCCGACAAAGCUGUGAAGGUAUGAACCGAACUUUAACUUUUGAAAUUAGCCUGAACAUUUCUGUAAAUAAUAAAUAUACCCUUUGUCAUGUUUUUUGCGCUCUAGCUGAAAAUUUGAAAUUUCUUGAUGCCAUAAUGUAAUUGCAGUUGAUUCUUGACGCAAUUGAGCAAGUGGGUGGAAUAUAUGUUGUCACUGCUGACCAUGGGAAUGCAGAAGAUAUGGUCAAGAGGGACAAAUCAGGAAAACCUCAGCUAAAGGAUGGACAAGUCCAGAUUCUUACUUCUCAUACUCUUGAGCCAGUAAGUUUUACGACCAAAUAUGUUCAUUCAGUCAUUGACGAGAACUUCGCAUGAAUUACAAGUGUCUGUCUACUAGAGAUUCUUAUACUUUCUUUGUUUGUUAAGGUACCAAUUGCCAUUGGAGGUCCUGGAUUGGCUCCUGGUGUCAGGUUCCGCAACGAUGUUCCCACCGGUGGGUUGGCCAACGUAGCUGCAACCGUGAUGAAUCUUCAUGGAUUUGAGGCUCCAAGUGACUAUGAGACAACCCUCAUAGAAGUAGUUGAUAAAUGAGAAACCAAUAGAUGAUGAGUUACAAAUUUUCAGCAGUUUUCAAAUAAUUUUGAACUUUUGAUUCCUCCACAGAUGUUUUUGUGGACUUUUGUCCUUAUGAAAUGGCUGUAUCAGUCUGCGGUUGACAGAACAUUAUAGUAAUUAAUUACAGUUUUGAACGCAGUUUUUUCCUUUUGAACUUUAAUUGUUGUCUUCAGUCAAAGUACUUCUAGGCACUGUGGUUACAGAUCUUGACCGUUGAGUCAGAUAUCAAGUACUACAAGGUUACAAAAACGUUUUUGUCUAAAAAAGAACAUAGAAUAAGAUUCUUCAUGUUUGUCAACUCUGAUGUCACGCUUGAAUACGCUUUUUUGGUUUGUUGUCUUUUCAUUUUUAUGAAGAGACAUAUAUAAUAUUACCAGUUAGAGUCUUGAUGCUUUGAAAAAAAUGGCAUCUUUUGGAGUUCUAAAUAAAAGAAAAUAGUAAUAAUCAUGAAAACAGUUGAUUUAAAAAAUAAUUUAUAGUCAAAGAAAUGACGGUUUAACAUAAAACCAGUUGGACUUUAUACAGCAUGCUUCAUCCCUAUAAAUUAAAUCUUUAGUUAAAGUAUCAGAGUAUUAAUAUAUUAUAGUUUAGAAAGAUUCCACAAACCAAUUGGACUUGAUUAUACAGCAUGCUUCAUUCCUCUUAAGUAAAUGUCAUGUGCACGUUUGUUUUAUAGUGAAAUCUAAUGUGCAAGUUGAUGCGUAUCAAAUUCAAAAUAUGUUAUUACAUGUUAUAAGUUGAUGUGUAUCAAAUUUAAAAUAUGUUAUUACAUUAGACCUAGUUUUAUUUUAGAAAGGAUUCUUUGUGGGUUGAUAGUAUUUGAGCACAAGUUUAAUAUAUAAUGUUUUUAUUUGAUUUUAAAUUUUAGUGGAUUAUGUGAGUAGUAUUCAUUGAUUCAAAAGUCAUCAAUAACUAUAAAAGUUAAAGAGACAUAACGGUCUUUAAAUUCCUCCUUAAAUUCCUUCUCUUUUGCAAAUGAUAUGUUGAAGUAGACAACCAUAAGAAUGCUCAUAAGUUGUUUGAUGAAAUAUCUAAGAGAAAUGUUGUCUCAUGGAAUGCAAUGUCAUCGUAUGAAAUCCAAUUAACCAAGUUAACACCAAAAAAACACCCAUACCUCACAAGGAAAAGCUAAAAUUAACACAAAAGAAAACACCCACACUUCACACAGAAAAACUAGAUUCUGAGGUAUCAGCACGAAGAGAACGAAUCAUAGUGUCCCUUCAAUCAUGUAUUUAAGCUAUCAAGCCUUUUAUAUACGGUUUCUAAUAUAAUGUUCUUUAAUUCAUACCGAGUAGCAUUAUAUGUUGCACCAGUAGAGUCAUAUGUGUGAGAACUAGUGGGGGAGAACCUUUUUGCACCAGUAGAAUCAAAACAUACACAUACAAUAACAAUCCAGCCAUUAUGUUGAUGAUAGCAAAACCAGACACAGCCAAAAUCAGGAGUAACAGUUCUUAAAAAUCCAAGGCCAAGUAACAUGUAAACAUAUACCAAAGUUCUUAAAAUUCCUUCAAGUUGUUGUUCUUGGAUUAUCAAAUCACCGAAAUCAGGAGUAACAGUUCUUAAAUUCAAGUUGUUGAAACAUAUACCAAAGUUCAUGCAAUGGUUGAAGUAUAUGUCAUUUAUGUACCAUGGAUUCAGGCUUCUUCUAAAAGUGCAAUAUUCAGAUUCUUUCCAUGAACGAAGCCCAAAAUGAAAUCACAAUUCUUCACUUGUUUAGAGGCCCCAAAAUGCAGAAGCUUCAUGAUUUAUCUUUUGUUCCUAAUCACACUAUUUGGGCAGUUACAGGUUACACCAUAUGGUAUUGGAGAAAUCAAAGGGAACAUGUGGAAAACUAUGUUAUGCCUACCAACUUGAGACAAAACAUAAUGCAGAAAACUCAUGAAUACAGUGAGGCGGUCAAAUUGCAGGCACAAGUCGCUACCUGGAAAAAAAUCUCCCAUUCAACAUAUUAAGAAGUGGAAUCCUCCUUUAAACUAGGGUCAGCCCAAUUAUAUUGGAGCCCCGUUUUAAUUAUAAAAAUGGGUCCAAUUUUAUUUUAAAACACAAUUAUAAUAAUUAAAAAAUAUAUAUAAAUAAUAUAUAUAAAAAAUAUAAUUAUAUAUUAAUUAAAAAUAAAUUUAAUUAUAAUUAUUUUGAGUUUUAGUCAAUCUUGAUUUUUGUAUGUAUUGAGUUUUUAUCAUAAUAUUUUUUUCGAUUGUUGAGUUUUUUUAAUGAGACUCCCUACUAGAUCGCGUUGGUUUCUCCACCAGUCGCCAUCCGACUUGCUCCCAGUCAGAGUUUCCUCCUGGUUUCUGAGCAGCUACUUGUGUUUAUCCUCUGUAUGGUUGUCUCCCAUUUUGAUAUGGUGUUGACCUAAAAUUCCCUGUAGAUUUGAUAAAAUUUCCUCUCCCCGACGGAUCUCCUCCUUCCUCAGCUAGAGUUGAGCCUUUGGGUCGUUGAUCUCUCUCUCUCUCUCUCUCUCUCUCUCUCUCUCUCUCUAGGAUCUCCUCCUUCCUCAGCUAGAGUUGAGCCUUUGGGUCGUUGAUCUCUCUCUCUCUCUCUCUCUCUCUCUCUCUCUCUCUCUCUCUCUCUCUCUCUCUGUUUUCCAACAAUUGUCUCCCUCUUUUUGUGGAUUGACCGAGGAUUGUAUCGAUGAUUUAAAUUCUUUGCGACACCUUUGUAUCCUUUGUGAUCGUUUUGUCAGCAUAAUCAUCAUAUAUACAUAUGCACUCAUAUAAUUUCAUAAUUUCAUAAUUGCAUCAUCAUAUUUGAUUGAUUUAUUUGAGAUUCUUAUUCUCUGUUAUGAUGGUACUUUAUCCCCAUACAAAUUCGGUGUCUGUCCUCCCUCAAUUGUAGAAUGUCAGCCCCUUAGGCAGAAAGACUUUAACCUUUCGCCUUUUCCCCACUGAGUUAUUUCCUCGUGGAUGAUUAUUACUUCAACUUCCUUCCUAGUUGAUUAUCUGGAUGGAAUUGCUCCCCUUGAGUUAUAUCCUCAUUGGGUUGAGUCUUGAUUGACCGUUUCUUUAUAGCUUUUGCCUAGAUAGAUGCUUUGAGUCUCCUAAGAGCUCAUUACCCAGUAACUGGUAAUAUUCUUCUUAGUUUGCAGUUGUUACUUCUUGCCCAAUACACGACAAAAGUAUCCCUAUUUUUCCAGCAGUAGAGUCCCUAGUGGAUUCGUUUUUCUUGAUUCCCCAGGAAGUAUAUCCUUGAUAUGUUCAUCCUAACCGGUGACAUAUAUCUUUCUUUCCCCCGUGUUGAGUUUAUCCUUGAUAUGUUAUCCUAACCAAUGACGGAUACUCUUAUUUUUGGUAUUCUACCCAAUAAAAAGGUAGUUGUAAUCCCUAUUUUGUUCCCCAGAGAGUUAAUCCUUGAUAUGUUCAUCUUAACCGAUGACAAAUUUCCUUCUCCUUGUGGUAUUCUACUCAGUAACCGGUAGUUGUAAACCCUACUUCCUCCUCAAAGAGUCUAUCCUUGAUAUGUUCAUCCUAACCGGUGACAGAUUUUCUCUUUGAUGGUAUUCUAUCCAGCAUUCGAUAGAUGUAAUUCCUACUUUUUGUUCAGUUGGUGUAUCCUUGAUAUGUUCAUCCUAACCGGUGACGGGUAUCCUUCUUGACAUUCCCAAGAAAGUUUAUCCUUGAUAUGUUCAUCCUAACCGAUGACAGAUUUUCUUUCCUGUUGAGUUUAUCCUUGAUAUGUUCAUCCUAACGGAUGACAGAUACUCUCAUCUUUGGUCUUCUACCCAGUAACUGGUGGUUUUAAAUCCUAUUGUUCUAUAGUUUUCCCCAGCAAGGCUAUUCUUACCCAGUAGCCGGUAAUGAAUACUCCCUCCUGGUGGUUCCCGCUGAGCCACCCUUGAUAUGUUCAUCCUAACCAGUGGCGGGUGUCCUAUCUGUCAGAUCUUUAUUAUCUCCUUACCCAGUAACAGGUAAUGGAUAAUAAAUUUCUGCUCCUCCUGCAUUGAAGUUUAUCUUCCCUAGUCGACUUGAGCGUGCAUUUCCUUAGUGAAAUCUCUUUUCCUACAUGAUCUAAGUACUUCAGUGUUAUCCUGAUCUACUCGUAUCCCCUGCAGAUGUUUUGUUUCCCUGGCUGAGUGUUUCCAUUUUGUAUGGAAUUCCUCUAGUUCCCCAGCAGUUUUAAGUCGUAGCCUGGCCUACACAUAACUCCUUUCCCCAUCAAAGUCUCUGUCUCCCCAGUGAGUUUUCCUUAUGAAAUGCAUUAUUCUCCUGCGGAUUUUCGGUCUCUCUGAUUUCUUUUCUUUUGUGGAAAAUAUUUCCCCACAAAGAAUUAACUUUUACAUUCAUAUCAUAUGCAUCAUGAGGUCUCUUAGGGACCAAUUUUUUUUCUAUGUUGUUAUUUAAGCCUAUUCUACCGAGUCGAGCCGAAGAUUUUAACCUUCACCUCCUCAGUUAGAAUGUCAUUAAAUAGGGGCAGCUGUAAGACCCCAAUUUUGACCUUAAGAUCCCUCAUGCAAUUUUAUCAUAUUGUAACACCUCAAAAUUUGCCCUCCUCUCUUGGGACUAGCUUAACAUAUUGCAUAUCAUUCUUAGGUCAUUAGGCAUUGCAUAAUUGCAUAUCAUGUGGCAACCUUGUGCAAGUCAUCCUCCUAGGUCUUGGUCAGAAGAUAAAAGGUUGAUGUAUGCAAGCUGAGGGUUUCAUUGGUUGAACUGAUUAUUAAUCAUCUGAGGGUGGUUCAAAUUAGGGUUUCUUGAUUCUCAAGGAGAUUGGUCUUCAUCUUGGUGGAAGUGGUACAUCAUCAUCAUCAUGGUUUUGUUAUCAUCCAAGAGGUUCAAGAGAUUGAUCAGAUACCUUGAGAUUAGGGUUUUGACCACUGGUCAACCCUAAUCAGUUGCAUUGGGCCAAUCAGGGCAUGGCAAGGAGAUGGGGUCUACAAUGGAAGAGGUUCAAGAGAUUGAUCAGAUACCUUGAGAUUAGGGUUUUGACCACUGGUCAACCCUAAUCAGUUGCAUUGGGCCAAUCAGGGCAUGGCAAGGAGAUGGGGUCUACAAUGGAUAUGGGGAUCAUUUCAUGACUAUAUUAAGCUUAUGGAAGCUAGGGUUUCAUCAUUGAGCCAUUUCAUCAGGAGUUUGAGGCUUAACUUGAUCAGUGCAUAGUCAAAUUCAUCUAUCAAUCAGAAAAGUCAACUGUGGUCAACUGUGCUUGAAAUGAUGGAUUUGGAGGUGGGAGAGAGUUGGAUAUACUUCAUUCAUGUUGAAACAAGUUUCAUUUGACAUUUCAAACAUCAAGAAUGAAGAAAAUAAAGUCAGAUGAAAAGUUUCCAAAAAUGGCAGGUGACUUGUAAUGAAAGUUUCCAAAAAUGGAAAGUUUUUCACCUCAAAAUUACAUGUCCAAAAAUGCUUCAAAUGAAAUUUUGUUCAACAUGAAAGUUGUAGAUCUUGCUCUCACCUUUCCAAAAAGACCUCAAAAUUACAUGUCCAAAAAUGCUUCAAAUGAAAUUUUGUUCAACAUGAAAGUUGUAGAUCUUGCUCUCACCUUUCCAAAAAGUCCAAGAACUUGAAUUUCUCAUGAAUGGUUGGCAAGAUAUGGUCCAAUCAUUUUCCAAAAAUGCCUAAAUUCAAAGUGGCAUAACUUUCACAUGGAAUGGCCAAAUUGGUUGAUUUUUCUUUGAGAAAACCCCAUUUCACAUGUACUUCCAUGAUGCAUCAUCAAAUUUCAUCAAAAAUAAGCAUGGCAAAAAGGCAUUUUUCAAGUGAUCUAUUUGAAAAUUGGUGGGAAAAAUGGUGAUUUUGAGAAUUACUUGGUUUUUGCAUACAAGGCCUAUUCCAACACAUCACAAAUGCCAAAUAGAACAUGUUUGAACUGUCAUGGCACUGUUGCAUUGCAUAAUUUGGAAAAGGACUUUUUUUGGCAUUUCACUAAAAAUCUCAUUUUACUAAUUCACUUUGGUUUUGCUAAUUUGGAUUAGUAAAUGGAUUAAGGCAUGGUAUAUAACACUAAUUGUAACAGAAAUUGGUAAUGACUUCACAUUAUUCAAGAUUGUAACAGAAUUUCCCUCCAAAAACUCUCAAUUCUCCAAAAUUUCUUCACACAUUUUUCAUCAAUUCUCAUCAAGUUCUUCAUCAAUUUGGUUGAUUCUUGUUGGAUUCAUACUCCAUAAGCAUUGGUGCACGACUGUUUCACAAGAUUCAUGCCAAAAGCUUGCUGAAUUUGGACUGUUGCAUUCAAGGUCAUCAAUGGCAAUUUCAUGAUUCUUCAAACUGGUGCUGUUUCGAGCUGAGCUAAUCACUUCAAACAACUUCAACAUCAUCAAGCAUCACCUGUUUCACCAUUUCACACCUGGAAACGCGCGAUUCCAACAACUGCUUCACCAUAAGGUCAGAGCUCGAUCUUAAUAAUAAUCCAAACCUUGAUAUGAUUUAGGUAGAUCGUGUGAUGUAGAACACGUUGCAACUUGUGGUGUUGAUUUUCAUGCUGAUUUGAAUGAGAAAUCAUGAUUUAUACUUUGACCUAGGAACCUUUUCUUGUUCGAUCCGGUUAGCAUGAUAGGAAUUAGGUCAAACCAAUUGCAUAUCCAUGAUGUACGUGCUUUGCUGGUGAUUUUGAUGUAUCAUUUGUCAAUUUUGGUUAAAAAAUGUUCAUGUCCAAAUUCUGGAAUUUCUGUUGUCGUUCUUGAUGAAGAACGCGCAUGGAGAUGUGUUUGAUCCAUUUGCCUGGCUGUAAAUUUUGAAAUGCUGUUUACCGCGCCUUAGAGCCAAUCAUAUGGCGCCACCGCAUUAAUGAGAAACGCCGCGUUUUGGUUUAGUUGUUCAAUAUUACGCAAAUGCCAUUAUUCCAAUUUAAUAUCAUUUUAUUUCAUUUUCUUUUUCAUUUGUUAUUUCAUUUUGAUCCAUGAACUUAGAAAAUCCAUAACUAAUUCAUUUCUUGUCCAAAUUUUGUGAAUUUUUUUGCAUGAUUCUCCUUAGGAUGUGUAGUUUUUAUGAUGAUUUUUAUGAUUUUUGUGCACGUGUGAAAAAAUAAUUUGCCUAGGGAUUGUUUGGAUGUAUGCAAUUUGUACAUGCUUUGCCUUUUCACUCAUGAAAUGAUGGUGCUUCCAAAGAAAUUGAUGAAAUUUUUUGUGCUUAUUCUGGACUCUUUGAUGGUGAUUUUGGUAUGUAGUUUGUAAUUUUUGGAUACCUGGUUGAGGAGAUAUGAAUUUUUGAUUAGAGGUGUGACAUCUUUGAUGGUGAUUUUGGUAUGUAGUUUGUAAUUUUUGGAUACCUGGUUGAGGAGAUAUGAAUUUUUGAUUAGAGGUGUGACAAUUUGUGUCACACCAAGCUUGAUGAACUUCAUGAUUUUAUUUGGUGUGCUUAGGGAUGUUUAAUUGAGCCAAUUUUUUGCAUGAAUGAGCAUAUGUAUGUUGAGAUAACAUGUGAAUUUUUCUGGAUUUAUUGCUUGCAUUUCCUAAUUGAUUGGAAUUUUCUCUUCUGUUGGCUCAUUUUGUGAUUUUUUGUGACACAUGUUGGCAUUUGAUUUGUGAAAUUCUCAUGAUUAAUUGGAUGGAUGUGAAAUUUGACAUGUGAAUUCUAGACACAUUAUAGGUCAUUGUGGUUUUGAUCCCAUUCAUUUAUCAUGUAUUAUCACUGUUUUAUGAUUUUUGGAAGUUGAUGCUUGUGUUGAUGCCUUGUGUUGGCUUGUUUGAAGUUGUAUGAACUUUUUGAUUUUCAUUGACCAACUUCCUCUUGUCCAAAUGAGCUGAAAUUUGAUAUGCUAUUCAUUGAAUAUGUUCUGUUUAGACUUGAAUUUUUGUGGAAUUUAUUGAAAUGUUUUGGUAUGGAUUUGAUUGAGAUCAUUCUGUUUGGUCCUUUGAGGUUGCAAAUUACAUGUUUGAUGCCUUUUUGUGCAUGAAAUGAUAAUGGUGAUUGAUAUGAGCAUGGGACCAAUUGAAUUUGUUUCUAAAUUUUUUGAUUGUGAUUUUGGAUAAUUUUCACUUGCUGUUUUGAUUUUUUUUUCUCCUUUGGAGCCUAGGCUUGGCCUAGUGGUCUUGUUUCUCAUGUUUGGUUUGGAUUUUCAGGUUGAGAUGCAAAGGCCUUAAGGAGAAAAAUGCAAGUUGAUUAAAUUGAGUUUGGUUGCUUGUUGUAAACUAACUUGUGUUGUUUUGUAGGAUGCUUGACUCAAUUGAGUUGAUUGUGCUUUGCACAUGGCAUUGCUUGUACAUUGUGUUAACUGUUUGACUUUUGCUGUUUAAUGUUGGUUUGUCUAGUAUACUGAAUGUACUUGAUUGAUUUCAGGUACAUUAGUUGCUAACAGUUCUUUAAGAACUUGCUUGCUGUUGCUUGGUUGUAUAAACCAAUUGAGGUAGACUCUCUUGUCUCCAUGUAGUCUGGAAGACCUGGCCUGUUACUUGGCCAGGCAACUGUCUGAAGUCCUCCUUAAGAGGCGAUGUUUGUGAUUGUUUAACUUUGUCCCCAAGCAGGUAAAGACCUUGAUUAAGGCAAUUGGCGGAACCCAAGGGAUGUGCAAUCCAUCCCCCGCUAUUCUGUUGAGUCGUCCCUCUGCUCACACCACUGUGUUGAUGCAUUGGGACACAAANNNNNNNNNNNNNNNNNGUUUGCCUGUGUUUGUGUGUGUCUUGUUUGGCGUGCGUGAGCCGAACUACGGCAGCUCUGAUUCUCGUUCCAGACGAGAUACGUAGGCAUAGGACGCGAUGUCCUAGCGAGCCCUCUUCCUCUUACCCCACCUGUGUUGUUUUCGGUGUGUGUGUGUGUGAUGUGUUUGUUUUAGCAACCUUUUCUUUCUUUUAGAGCGUGGAUCCCGUCGAGUACGACGGACGUGAGGGGUGCUAAUACCUUCCCCUUGCGUAACCGACUCCCUUACCCUUUCUCUUUGGUCGCGAGACCAUGCUUUUCCCAGGUUUACUUCGAGCGUUUCCUUUCCCUCUUUUGGGAUAAAUAAUGCACGGUGGCGGCUCUGUUUGUUUUUGUUUUAGCCCGCCGGUUGUUUUUCGCGGAUGCGACACAUAUGCAUUAGCAUUGGGAUCACACCUUGGCAUCCUCCUUACCCCUCUUUCAUUGGGUUUGUUUUGGGAGAGAUCACCAAACACCAUGUGAUUGUAUCAUACUUGUAUUUUAUCAUUUUACUAACCAAAAUACCAAAAAUAUGUCUUUGUAUUUGCCUAACUUUUUGUAGGUAUGACAUGAUCUUCAUUGAUCUAUCAAGUUCAUAUAUAGGGUUUGAGACCCUCAUGACAAGGAGCACAACCAUGAAUUGAUCCAAGAAUGGUUAUGAGCAUCAUAUAUGAGUUCCAUUGAUCUCUACAUGUCAUAUUGAUCAAGUUUUCUUCAAGAGUUUGAGGGUGAUUUGCCUUGGAAACCCUAGUUUGACUGGGUAUCUUGAGUAACUUCUCCAACAAGCUAUCUCACCAAUUGAUCAAAUUUCUCAAGGGACACUUAAAAAUUCAUCAUCUUAUGCAUAUAUGAUCUAACAUGAGCCUAGAAAGUCAAGAGAAUUGAAGGUUGGCAAGUUGAUCGAUGGUGGUUGGCCAGAUGAAUUCAUCUUAUCAAAACUAGGUCUCCCUAGACCCUACCUCCUACAAUUUUCACCAUAUAAAAUGAUUCCAAUAGAAAAGUUACUCUAAAUGACAUAUCAAACAACUUUCAUGUUGAGACCUAGAGCUAGUUUUUCUUGGAAAAUCAUUUUCUAUGUUGAAACAUUAUAGGUCAUUUUGUCUAAACCCUAAUUUGAAAGUCAACUUUCCAAGGCCAUAACUUGCUCAAUUUUUAUGAGAUGAUAGAUUUCCAAGUUGCACAAUCAAAUUCAAUGUGUCUACUUCAACUUUGAUGUUUGGAGUGAGAGCUAAUUCAACUUUUUUGAGCAUGUGAUAUGAGGCUACAUUAUAGGUCACUUUUGACCUAUACCAUUGAUCAAGUGAUUUUUCCAAACUUCAAAAAUGCAUAACUCUAUCAUGCAACUUCAUCAUAAGCAUUAGCAUUGGGAUCAUACCUUGGCACCCUCCUUACCCCUCUUUCAUUGGGUUUGUUUUGGGAGAGAUCACCAAGCACUUUGUGAUUAUAUCAUACUUGUAUUUUAUCAUUUUUACUAACCAAAAUACCAAAAAUAUGUCUUUGUAUUUGCCUAACUCUUUUGUAGGUAGGGCAUGAUCUCAUUGAUUCAUCAAGUCCAUAUCUAGGGUUUGAGACCCUCAUGAACAAAGAGCACAACCAUGAAUUGAUUCAAGAAUGGUUAUGAACAUCAUAUAUAAGUCCCAAUGAUCUCUACAUGUUAUAUUGAUCAAGUUUUCUUCAAUAGUUUGAGGGUGAUUUGCCUUGGAAACCCUAGUUUGACUGGGUAUCUUGAGUAACUUCUCCAACAAGCUAUCUCACCAAUUGAUCAAAUUUCUCAAGGGACACUUAAAAAUUCAUCAUCUUAUGCAUAUAUGAUCUAACAUGAGCCUAGAAAGUCAAGAGAAUUGAAGGUUGGCAAGUUGAUCGAUGGUGGUUGGCCAGAUGAAUUCAUCUUAUCAAAACUAGGUCUCCCUAGACCCUACCUCCUACAAUUUUCACCAUAUAAAAUGAUUCCAAUAGAAAAGUUACUCUAAAUGACAUAUCAAACAACUUUCAUGUUGAGACCUAGAGCUAGUUUUUCUUGGAAAAUCAUUUUCUAUGUUGAAACAUUAUAGGUCAUUUUGUAUAAACCCUAAUUUGAAAGUCAACUUCCCAAGGUCAUAACUUGCUCAAUUUUUAUGAGAUGAAAGAUUUCCAAGUUUCACAAUCAAAUUCAAUAUGUCUACUUCAACGUUGAUGUUUGGAGUGGAAGCAAAUUCAACUUUUAUGAGUAUGUGAUAUGAGGAUAUAUUAUAGGUCAUUUUUGACCUAUACCAUUGAACAAGUGAUUUUUCCAAACUUCAAAAAUGCGCAACUCUAUCAUUAUAAAUCCAAAUGACAUGAAAUUGGUGACCAUUUUGAAGUUCUUUGAAAGAGCUACAAAUUUGAUGAAGACACGUUUCUCAUUUGAAGCUCACAUAAAAUGUUAAGUAAGGUGGAAUAUUGAGAUAUAUGGCUUGACACUUUGAAAAAAUUUCAACAUGUUGAAAUUUCCAAACGUCAACCUCAAAAUUCACCAUGAUCCAAGCUCCAAAUAAAAAAGUGUUCAACAUCAAACUUGUUCCUCUUGAUCCAUGCUUUCCAAAGAACCCAAGUUCAUGCAUUUUGGAUGGGGUUUGCUAGGGCUGCGCAUGGCUUUAACAGAGCUGCAUCAUUGGAGGAAAUCAAAUGUACAAACUUCAUUUCAUAUUGCCUUGCCAAUCAAGCUUCAUUCAGACUUCAACAUGAUUGAUUUUGGACCUUAAUGCAUUGCCUUAUGGGUCUGUUCAUGCCCAUGCACUCGUGUCAUUCACAUUGCUAAAUUUGGUCAAAAUUUCAAGUGUGCAAAUAUCACUCCCUCAUGCUAUAAAUACAUGACCUCUGUGCUCCAUUCAAACACACCUUGCGCGCCAGCUUUGCCCCCAAUUCAAACCCUCUCAUUCUAAAGGAAAACCUGAGAAUUUUCAAUUUGAAAAUUGAGUUUGAAUCUCAACUGUUGGAGAUUCACAAACUCCGGGAUCCAAAGCCUUGCACACUUGCUAAUCACUUCCUACAAGCUUCUCAAGUGUGAUCAGAUCGUGUUUGAAGCAAGCAACAUCAAGUUCUGCACAACAUUGAAGGUUAUUUUCAGAAAAUUUCAUCUCUUCGAUUCUCACUUAAUUCUCAUCAAUUCUCUUGGAUCUUUGGUUGUCUGAAGUCCUACCAAUGUAGGCAAGAAGAUUGAGUUGCUUAGAGGUCAAAUCGAAGCAACUCAGUUGACGCACCUCAAAAUUCAACCCUCAUAUCUUUCUAUAUAUGUGGAGUUAGUUAAAAUUGAGGUGAUAUUCGUGAUCUAUACCAUUUUAUCUUUCAGAUCAUGUCCUCUUUUGUCAUUUAUGAUGUGGUGAUGACUGAACCAGUCCGGCCAGGGUCAUCGGAGAAGAUGACCGGCCUUUGGCUCUGACGAUGAGCUGGAAGUGUUCAGAGCCAUUAGAUGAGCUUGAAAUGUUUUAAUCUCGUGCGUUGCUUUUAAAUACCAAGCCUAUGCCGCGUUGACUGCAGUGCACCAUGGAACGCGCGCUUCUCACCACUUGAUCUGCCACCUCAAUUAAUGAGGCAGAUCAAGUGGUCCACGUUUUUUGACAUUUUCUGAUUUUUCUUUUAUUCCUUUUAUUUUCAUUAAUUCAUAUUAAUUUUAAUAUUGAUCCAAAAAAUAUGAGAGUUUCACCAAAAAUUUUCAAAUAAUUUCCUCUUUCAUAUUUUGAAUUAAAAUUAUUUUUUGGAUCAUUAUUAAUAUUUUUCAUGAUUUAAUUGAUUUUGUGAUUGUUUUUAAUUGUUUAAAAAUACUUUUAAGUCUUUAAAAAUUCUGAAUUUUUUUCUCCGAGGUUAUUUGACCUUGUUUAACCUAUGAUAAAUCUCAUGGCCAUUUCUUUGGUGUUUUGAUGAGGUUUUAGGAAUUUGACAAACCAUAUUUAAUUUAAAUAUAUUAUUUUAGUAUUUUUAAUUUGAAUAAAUGCCAAUUAAUUAUGUUGACCUAUUGUGAUGACUUGUAUAAGUUUGACUCUUGUUGUUGGGCCUUGGUCAAGGUUGAUUUGACUUUGUCAAGUUAAUAUCAUUGGAUUUAGGGGAUUGAUGGAAUGUACAUUCCAUCUCCCAAAAUGAAUGGAUGAUAUUAAUUUGGUAAAAGUCCUCCUUUGACCAAUUUGAGUUUUGAUCCAUUCCCCUCCCUCUUCAUCUCAUUCCCAUUCUUUAUACAUUCAUCUCAUUUGGCCUAUGAUAUCUCUAAGUCCUAAGGCUAGUUGAUUGCAAAAUCAACAUAAGUAUGUAUGAGAUUAAGCCACCUCUUUUGCAUAUUCUUUUUGUGUGUGGUAUGUUUCAUGAGCAUAGUCCAUUAUACUAUGUCUCUAACAUGCAUUAACACCAAAAUUCUAUUGCCCGACCUCAAAUAGUUGUGACUUCUACAUAAGUCCAAUUACGAUUGCUUAACAUAGCGCUAAAUUUNNNNNNNNNNNNNNNNNNNNNNNNNNNNNNNNNNNNNNNNNNNNNNNNNNNNNNNNNNNNNNNNNNNNNNNNNNNNNNNNNNNNNNNNNNNNNNNNNNNNNNNNNNNNNNNNNNNNNNNNNNNNNNNNNNNNNNNNNNNNNNNNNNNNNNNNNNNNNNNNNNNNNNNNNNNNNNNNNNNNNNNNNNNNNNNNNNNNNNNNNNNNNNNNNNNNNNNNNNNNNNNNNNNNNNNNNNNNNNNNNNNNNNNNNNNNNNNNNNNNNNNNNNNNNNNNNNNNNNNNNNNNNNNNNNNNNNNNNNNNNNNNNNNNNNNNNNNNNNNNNNNNNNNNNNNNNNNNNNNNNNNNNNNNNNNNNNNNNNNNNNNNNNNNNNNNNNNNNNNNNNNNNNNNNNNNNNNNNNNNNNNNNNNNNNNNNNNNNNNNNNNNNNNNNNNNNNNNNNNNNNNNNNNNNNNNNNNNNNNNNNNNNNNNNNNNNNNNNNNNNNNNNNNNNNNNNNNNNNNNNNNNNNNNNNNNNNNNNNNNNNNNNNNNNNNNNNNNNNNNNNNNNNNNNNNNNNNNNNNNNNNNNNNNNNNNNNNNNNNNNNNNNNNNNNNNNNNNNNNNNNNAGUAUGGAUGAGAUUAGGCCACCUCUUUUGCAUAUUCUUUUUGUGUGUGGUAUGUUUCAUGAGCAUAGUCCAUUAUACUAUGUCUCUAAUAUGCAUUAACACCAAAAUUCUAUUGCCCGACCUCAAAUAGUUGUGACUUCUACAUAAGUCCAAUUACGAUUGAUUAACAUAGCGCUAAAUUUGUGACACAAAAGGCAUAGCAUUCUAGUUAGUGAGAUUGUAAGUCUCCCCUCUUUCAUUGUAUUGUGUGGAAACUUGGCCUUUUUUCCUUCCUUUGGAAGAUGUCUUGGUUCAAGGAUCCAUGCUUGUGAUAAGUGGGUUGAGUGUUCUCUAAAGAAUGAGUUAAAAUGAAAAGCGAAAGCAAAACAAUACUAACUUAUAACUCAUUAACAACUAACAUUUAAUUUCAAGUCCUUUAUUUUUAAUGCACUUUAAUUUUUUUAAGUUCUAUUCAUUUGCCAUUAUUCAUACCAUUCUAAUUGUUCAUGUUAAUGCAAAUUUCACUUUGUCCAUUUGGACCAUAUUGUGUGCUAUACCUUGUUUGUGUAUAUUUUUGUUUGUUUGUGUGGUCUUUGACCAUUAAUGUACAUAAUAAGAAAAAAAACCCUAAAAAACUUUUGUGUGGACUGUUGACUUGAUCUUGGACCAAUUAGACUUAGAAUCUAGGCAACCUCCCUAUGCUAAAUGACUUGGCCAAUGCCAACAUUUAUGUAAUCAAGUGCUUGCAAUUUGAAACUUCAUCUGAUACAUCUUUGAAGAUCCCUUUGAGUUCAUCUGCAACAUGAUCAUUGUGAAGCUGUUAUUUUGAGUUUAUGACUUAUGGCAUUGUGGAAUUCAUCUGCUACAUGGGCAAACUUGAAGAAGAUCAUGGAGUGGCUAAAGCUUGGAUGUGGCUAUCUUUAUUUGAUGCCUUGCUCUUCAAGUUAAUAUUGUAUGCAU